AAGAGAGAGAGGGGUGCAGUUAUAGCGUGUAAGAGAGUAAGAGUAAAGAGAGAGAGUGAGUGAGAGAUGGAAAGAGAUAGAUUUACAGAGAGAUAGACAGCGAGAAAAGGAGGGAACGGUUUUUCUAUUACUACUACUCCCACCAUCAGCAGCAGCAGUUGUAUUAGUAGUUGUAGUAGUAAUAGUAAUAGCAGUAGUAAAUAUGUAUGAGCAGUAGCGGCUGCUGUUUUAGCAGCAUUGAAAUAAUUAUUGGUUUUUGUACCGGCACCAAUAGGACUACUACCAGCACAGCAGCACCAUUAUAAUCUUUAUCACCACAGGCAGCGCUCUGGACUGUUGUCACCACCACCACCACCACCAACCACCACUACCACCACCACUACGGUCAUUCUGUCCAAAAUCUCACGGAUUUUCCACCCUGCCCUGACCCCCCACCCCUUUCCCUGUCAAAGAAGACCAGUUGGUAAUUACAUACAUACACACAUAUUACAUAUAUAUAUAUAUAUAUAUAUAUAUAUGUAUAUGUGUGUGUGUGUACUUCAUUCCAAAAAAUAAACCCGAAGUUAAAACUCCAUAAUCAUAUAAACCCAAACCAAACUACCCGACUAACUAACUAAACAAGCAAACACCAACCAACCAACCAACCACACAUACACACACCCACACCAAACUACCCCCUACCAUAAGUUCGUUACCAUUAUUUCUUUCGAUCUGAGCCCCCCAUCAAGCCAUAACAGUUCUCUCUCACUCUCUUUCUCUCUCCUUAUUUCCUCUGUUUUCAAUUUUUACAACAAUAUGGACUUCGUUUCGAAUGUCAACAACCUUUCAUAAAGGGUAAGUCGCCAACACCAAUUAUUUUAUUUCUUACAUACAUGAUGUUUAUUUUGUGUGUGUGUGUGUAUGCUGUAUAUGUUUCCGUUAAAAAAAAAAAAAAAAACGAGGAAAGACCACAAUUUAAAGCAUAAUAAUACUCAGUGUAUAAAUGGAAUCGAUGUAUACUUAAAAAUACGUGUAUAUAUAUAUCUGAUCAUCAUUUCUACUUGUGUGUGUAUAUAUCUCAGUUAUAUAUUUCUGUGUGUAUAUAUCUCAGUUAUAUAUUUGUGUGUGUAUAUAUAUCUCAGUUAUAUAUUAGUGUAUAUAUAUAUAUAUCAAUUAUGCAUAUUGUACACAUCUUUCUAAGUCUGUUUCGUAUAUAUAUAUAUAUAUAUAUAUAUAUAUGAGCAUGCAUACACACACAUAUAUAUAUAUAUAUAUAUAUAUAUAUAUAUCAAUUAUGCAUAUUGUACACAUCUUUCUAAGUCUGUUUCGUAUAUAUACAUAUAUAUAUAUAUAUGUGUAUAUAUAUAUAUAUAUAUAUAUAUAUGUGUGUGUGUGUGUGUAUGCUCAUUUAUUUGUUCGUCUUUCACCCUAUAAAACAGUCAAAUUAUAAAAUUGGAGGGAUAUUUUUCAAUUUACUUAUUUGCAAACCAUUAUCAUGAGAUAACUUACGAACCCCUACGAAGUCACUGGACCUACUAGAAACACCAGCUAAAUCUUUCUCAAAUGAUACCCCACUACCUUAAAACGAUGAAAAGCCACGUCGGAUACUGUAUUUCUCGGUAUCUCUAAAAAGAGGGAUCGUUAUGGUUGGAUCAGUUUUGAGAUCAUAGGUCUGCUCAAUCAAGGUUGAUUUGGAGCUAACCAACAACAACCACUACUAUCUUUAUUUUGCUUCGUCUUCGUGUUGUAAUUUGAUGAUAAUUAUUAUAAUAAAUUCUUUAACGUAAGACAUUCAAUGUAAGAGAUAUAUAAUUGUUUGCAGAGGGAACUGUGAUGUUCAUGCAUCAUUCAGUUGUAUCUGGUGUCGUUCAGUGAAUGUAAUAGUAAUAAUAAUGAUGAUUUCUUAAGACAUGAAAACUCUGGUUUAGACGGGAAAUGAAAUGCUGCUGUGACAUUCAUACUUUUCUCAAGAACAUUAAUGUGGCUAAAAUAAACCUUGGGUACUUGUCAAUUGUCGUGGUCCCGGUUUUGCACACGCGAAUUCGCGCGCGCGCGCGCGCCAGACGUAGGUACUCGAUACUCGAGAUCCUACGAGGUGACUUGCGCAUGCGCAGUGCAGAAUUCGCGCGUGCGCGUUAAACCCCCCUAAAAAAAAAAGGUGUUGGAUUUCACUAAAAAUAUAUGUGUGUGUGUGUGUAUAUAUAACAUUUUCAAUUUUACACAAAAAAAUUACAUAGUCGCUUUCCUCGCGGAUUUACAGAGAAAUGAAUUAAUUACUAUUUUACAGAAUAAAAUUAAUGAAUUAAUUAUAUAAAUUAAAUAAUUCUUGAAAAUUAAUUAAUAUUAAUAAUAUUUUUUGAACAAAGUAAAUAAUUUAUAAAACUUGGUUAAUAAUUUUUUUUACACAAACGCGAACGUAUAUAAUUUGUGAAACUUUUUUUUUUUUACAGACGUAUAUAAUUUGGUAAACUUAAUGAAUUAAUUUCUUCUCAUCAUCAUCAUCGUUUAACGUCCGUUCUCCAUGCCAGCAUGGGUUGGACGGUUCGACCGGGGAUCUGGGAAGCCAGAAGGCUGCACCAGACUCCAGUCUUAUCUGGCAAUGUUUCUACAGCUGGAUGCCCUUCCUAACGCCAACCACUCCGAGAGUGUAGUGGGUGCUUUUUACAUGCCACCCGCACAGGUGCCAGGCGAGGCUGGCAACGGCCACGGUCGGAUUGGUGCCAGUCGAGGCGGCUCUGGCAUCGGCCACGAUUCGGAUAGUGCUUUUUACGUACCACCAGUCCAGGGGUCCUGGCAUUUGCCGGGUGCCACACUUGCCCCAACAUGUCUUCGCAAGCAAAGGGGGUUGGCAUGGGUGCCUGUCGUGGGAUGAGGUUCGAUAUCAACUUCGCUUGCCUCAACAGGACUUUGUGUAUAAAUGUAUAAAUUUUUCGCACUAAAUUCUUUCCGUAGAAUUUAUAAAAAAACGCGCAAAAUUAUUCCGUAGACUUUAUCAAAUUAAAAAACGCAAAAUUAAUAUAUUUUUUGAAAUUGCAAAUUAUUUAGAAUAUAAAACAAAUUAAGUUAAAUUUUAAAAAUAAAUGUCAUAUACUUAUACUCUGUAAGGUGCUGUGUUCACACUUCAAUUUACUAUUUUCUAGAAAUGUUGCUUUUCUAAUUGAAACAAUUUUUCUCAAUCUCCAUUUAAAAGUCCAUAAUGCCUCUUGAGCCAUAUCAAAAUGAACAACUUUGAAUUACCCGGUGGUGGUGGUGGUGGUGGUGUGAGGUUCUAAUUUUUUUCUGAUCUCUCUUUGCCCCCCCUAGAUGGAGGUGUGGUGGGGAGACAGAUGAAAGAUGUUUCAUUCUCUACUAUAUAUGUAUAUAUAUAUCUAUAUCUAUAUCUAUAUAUAUAUAUAUAUAUUUCUUAAACCUACACGAUAUAGUCUAUAAAUUUGGGAUGUUUUUGAAAGAUUAUAUAUUUUGUCAUCAGAAUAUAUAUACUUUCUCACACUACAAUUAAGAUAUAUUUAUUUUAAAUCGUUCAUCUUUUCCCGCGACAACAAAAAUUGGGCGCGAAAAUUUUUCUAAAUAUUAGCUGAAUGAACAACUGAGAUAAAGAGGGGGCAAAGAGAGAUCAGAAAAAAAAUUAGAACCUCACACCACCACCACCGGGUAAUUCAAAGUUGUUCAUUUUGAUAUGGCUCAAGAGGCAUUAUGGACUUUUAAAUGGAGAUUGAGAAAAAUUGUUUCAAUUAGAAAAGCAACAUUUCUAGAAAAUAGUAAAUUGAAGUGUGAACACAGCACCUUACAGAGUAUAAGUAUAUGACAUUUAUUUUUAAAAUUUAACUUAAUUUGUUUUAUAUUCUAAAUAAUUUGCAAUUUCAAAAAAUAUAUUAAUUUUGCGUUUUUUAAUUUGAUAAAGUCUACGGAAUAAUUUUGCGCGUUUUUUUAUAAAUUCUACGGAAAGAAUUUAGUGCGAAAAAUUUAUACAUUUAUACACAAAGACCUGUUGAGGCAAGCGAAGUUGAUAUCGAACCUCAUCCCACGACAGGCACCCAUGCCAACCCCUUUGCUUGCGAAGACAUGUUGGGGCAAGUGUGGCACCCGGCAAAUGCCAGGACCCCUGGACUGGUGGUACGUAAAAAGCACUAUCCGAAUCGUGGCCGAUGCCAGAGCCGCCUCGACUGGCACCAAUCCGACCGUGGCCGUUGCCAGCCUCGCCUGGCACCUGUGCGGGUGGCAUGUAAAAAGCACCCACUACACUCUCGGAGUGGUUGGCGUUAGGAAGGGCAUCCAGCUGUAGAAACAUUGCCAGAUAAGACUGGAGUCUGGUGCAGCCUUCUGGCUUCCCAGAUCCCCGGUCGAACCGUCCAACCCAUGCUGGCAUGGAGAACGGACGUUAAACGAUGAUGAUGAUGAGAAGAAAUUAAUUCAUUAAGUUUACCAAAUUAUAUACGUCUGUAAAAAAAAAAAAAGUUUCACAAAUUAUAUACGUUCGCGUUUGUGUAAAAAAAAUUAUUAACCAAGUUUUAUAAAUUAUUUACUUUGUUCAAAAAAAUAUUAUUAAUAUUAAUUAAUUUUCAAGAAUUAUUUAAUUUAUAUAAUUAAUUCAUUAAUUUUAUUCUGUAAAAUAGUAAUUAAUUCAUUUCUCUGUAAAUCCGCGAGGAAAGCGACUAUGUAAUUUUUUUGUGUAAAAUUGAAAAUGUUAUAUAUACACACACACACACAUAUAUUUUUAGUGAAAUCCAACACCUUUUUUUUUUAGGGGGGGGGUUUAACGCGCACGCGCGAAUUCUGCACUGCGCAUGUCACCUCGUAGGAUCUCGAGUAUCGAGUACCUACGUCUGGCGCGCGCGCGCGCGCGAAUUCGCGUGUGCAAAACCGGGACCACGACAAUUGACAAGUACCUAAACCUUGUUGGACUGUGAUUUCUAAUGUAGACACAAAAUCAGAAAUUUGGUAGACUGGUUGGGCAAUUAGAUCGCCCCCCUGUAUUAAGGCUUGUACUUUAUUUUAUCGAUACCAGAGGGGAUUAAAGACAAUGUUGACCUCGACGGGGUUUGAACUGAGAAUGUAAAGAACCGAAGUAAGGCGUUUUGUCCGACGCCCCUAACGUGUCUACCAAUCAACUGCCCUUAUAAAUUAAAGAUGAUGAUGAAGAUAAACUUAGAAAAUGUAAGCUUAAAAUGUAAGAAAUUUUAGAGGUUAUUUUUACAAUAAAAUUUGAAGUUGUGGCGCUCAUUACGUUAACAAUUAAGAAAAUAACGAUCUUGAUUUGUUGGUUAUAUUUAUUUAUUGAGUAAAGUAGAAAGCUGCAUAUAAACCUGCUAGAAAUAGCAGUCAAAUCUGCUGAGUGUGUGAAAGAGAGAGAGAGAGAGAGGAAUUCUUUUCGUGGUUAUUUGAUCUACUAGAAAUAGCAGUCACAUUUCUUUCACAACGUGCAUAUUCUGUGUCUGAUUAUAAGGUGGAAUGGUCAUGAUGGGAACCUUUUUAUCACAGGGUUGCUCUAGCUAGAUUGAUCUGGGGGCUAAACGACAACAGUAAAAUAGAUAACGGAAGUUUUAAUUCGAUUACAGAUGCUUAUUGAAGAAAUUCAGGGAAAACACGAAGUUGUAUCCAUUCCAUUAAUUAUGAUGAUGAUGAUAAUAAUAAUAAUAAUAAUUGGUUCUUUAUUUGUCUCAAGGGCGUGGAAUGGAGGGCAUUAUAUGGACAGGUUUCAAAAAAACAUGGGAUGGAGUUUAUCAAAGGAAAGAGGAAAAAAGAACUAAAAAAAAAAGAAACAGACGUGUACAAUAAUGACCAUAACAACGAUAGUUGUAGUAUAUUGAUCAUAUCAUAUUCCGUUUGAUAUCGAUUCUAGCCCAGCAAAUUAGAAAGUUUGGCCAAACAUCUUGCUCACGCAAAUUUUUUUGAACGUAAAAAAUGUCCUAUGUUGAAACGACAAGUUUUUGUGUCGGUUGUCUUUAUAGAAUGGAUUAAUUGUUUAGUUAAGAGUUCUUAUCAAAGAGGCAUUGUUUAACCGUCAUUUUUUGGCCCAUCACUGCUGCCACGACCGCCUCUUCUUGUGGUUGUUCUUCGCACACAAUCCCUAUAUAUGGUAAUAAUAAGGUGGGAACAGGGCAAUUGGUAGUCGUAUAAGAUACCUACCUAUCUACUAGCACACAGACGUACAUACACAGGUAACUUACAUAUUCACAUGUAAAACAAAUUGCACAGGUGUAUAACAUAUUACACACGUACAAAUUCUCUCUCUCUUUCUCUCUCUUCACACAUACACGUCUAUCUAUCUAUCUAUCUAUACAUACAUCAUACAUACAUACAUACAUACACACACAUACACACACACACGUGUAUAUACAUAUCCAUAUACACUACACACAGCACGAAUAUGCAUUUGUAUUUCCAAAUGUAUACACAAAUAACGAUGAUAGACUACGUACAAAUAUUUAAAUAUUUGUAAAUAGAUAUACACGCAUAUUCAUAAACACUCACAGUACAUUAACAUAUUUCAUAUGUACACACAUAGCUUAUUAUAUAUUGUGAACGUAAGGUACCCGUUGCCGAACACGCAUUUAGAUACACACCCGUAUGUAAAUUGUACACACAUGUGUAUUAUUUAUUCGUAGCCAAGACCCGCUUCCUCUCUCAUCCAUAUUUCAACUAUCCCUCAUUUAAUGUUAUGACAUAUGUGAAUCAGUCUCUCCUUUUCGUUGUUUAGCCAGCCCUUCAUCUGCUUAAAUCGACCAGGUAUACGAUUAUUAAGGAUCAAAGGCGUUUUAACCAUGGUUAUUCUAUCUUUUACAUUUCAUGAAUUAACACUAUCUCCUAUGUCCCCUUUUUCAUCAUUGUCAUUCAAGACAAUAGGCUGUGAUUUCGAGGGAGAUUUGGCUGCUAUUCUUCUAGCCCGUCGAACGCCCACGUAGUGUUUUCCAUGGUGGCUUGUCUAUUUCUCCCGUUCAUCAACUGAUCAAGCAGACCUAUAAAUGAUUAAAGACACGCCAAUCUCGAUCAUAUAUCCUUAAUAAUGGAACACCUUUUUAGGGUAUCUAGGAUAUAUUUAUUAUCUCGUAUGCCCUUACCCACUUUUUGAGACGACGGGGUGUGUGUGAUUCGGAGAUUUCGUAUCUGUUUCUAGCAUGUCGUACGACUGCGUGGCGGACAUCGUUGUUGGUUCAUCCACUUCGAAAAUCUGUGGCUCUCUCUCUCUCUCUCUCUCUCUCUCUCUCUCUCUAUAUAUAUAUAUAUAUAUAUAUAUAUAUAUAUAUAUAUAACAAUUAAGGAUAAAAUCUUAAUAAGGAAUUUUGGUAGUAAUGACUUAUGUCCCUCUUAGCGUGUGGCAUUUAUGUGUAAUAAUGCCCUCUAUACAAUAUAUAUAUAUAUUGUUGUGUCUAGGGAUAGAUUGUGUGUGUUUCUCUGCAUAUAUGUUUCUGUUGUCUGUCUCCACACGAGUGUGUGUAUAUGUCAUUGCGUUUGUGUACGGAUGUCAUGCGUGUCAAUCUGCUAUGUCUCUAGUCUGUGUAUGUGUUUGACAUUCAACUGAGCAUGUGGUCAGCAUUGACACUGCAAUUGACAUAUAUACAACACAAUAAUAGCCAUGUAUGAUGCGUGAAAUAUAGUUUACACACAAACACACGUAUAUUUGUAAGUGUGUAUACAUGCAAAUACACACAUAUAUACACACACACACACACACACACACACAGAGGAGUUUCUUUUCUCUCAGCAGGUUUCUUUGAAAGUAAAACACCGUAGACUCUUUGUCUGCUGUGUGUAUUAUUUUGCAUUUAAAAUCACGGUCAAUUACAUCUACUAAUCUUUUUCUGUGUGGUGUGUGCGAAUGAUUCCAUAAAACUGUGUAUCAGUCAGCUAUCGAAUCGAUUUGUGUGUGUGUAUGUAUAUAAAGUGGAAUCCGCUUAUUGUGAUCACUUUGGACAGAGCCUUUUAAAAAUAACAACGACCGGUUGUUAACCUUAUGUGAAGGCUAUAACAAUAUCCUGAGCGUACUUGGGAUCCACUAAUUUCGAUAACAACUGAUAACACCGUCCUGUGAUUAUAAUAAGCGGCUUCUACAGUAUAUAUAUUUUGAAGUCGUUACUCAGUUUCCCGCCGCGUGCAUUUAUAUAAUCUUGUGUCUAGAUAAAAAUAAAUUAGUUGACCAAUGAAGGCCUAACCCAAUCUUUAAAUCAACCUGACUGUUUGAUGUACCUUUUCAAGUGAAGAGACUUAAGUCCUCCUAAAUAAGUGACAGGCUGAGAAGACAUCUACCUGUCUGGGUCUGUUGCUGUUUUAGUUUCUACUACGAAAUAUUUGUCAGUCUAUGAUGGUUUUUGUUUUUUAUAUUACCCGACUACAUGAAAACUCGAAUUCUUUUCCUACUGUAACCAUCGUCCCAUAUAAUUUAUAUAUCUUAAUUUGAUAACAAAAAUUAAAAAUAAAGAUACAGGUAUCCCCCUCUCUGUCAAGGAAACAUGGAUGAAGGAGAAAAAUAAAUUGAUUCGUAAUUUAUAAUCGAUGUUAUUUCUUUCUCUGUCUCUUUUCUAGUGGAUGACGAAUGCAUGCAAUUCUAAAUACGCAUGUGCGAGGUAAUCAAAUAGGGGGACCAGUAUUCAAUAGUCGACUAAUUACAAACUGAUCCCUCAUUUUAUGUUCAUCCUUGUGACAGUUAUUAAAUAUCCUCAAACAUGCAUUUAUUUAUUUAUUGGCUGUCGCUUCAUAUUAUGUCUUAAAUUGCAGAAAAUAAUGAAAGUCUUGUAAUUAAGGAUAUAUGAAUUGGCCGAUCAAAAUGUUAAUUAUUUAUUAUAGGAAACAAAACUGUUAGCGAUCGGUGUAGUCGAGUUUAAAAAUCAUAUUCAAUAUACUGUUAGCAUUUUUUUCCCUUUUGGUUGGUUUUCUACGAAAUAAUUGUCUUUGUACCUUUUUCAGUUGAGAAAUUGGUCACUAGGAUAAAUAUUUUAUAGAUCAGACUGAUCUGAUGAUGAUAAUUAAAAUCUGUACGUUACUGAAAUGAAUGCCUCCGCAUCUAUAAACUGAAAGUGGAGCCUGAUUAACAACAUCUGUUAGUUUGUUAUGUCUACACACAUUAUCAAAAAAUAUAUACAUACAUGUUCAGAAAAUAGAUUUAUAUUUAAACAUAAUGAAUGAUCAAUGACCCGUCCUCUAACCUAUGUUGUAUUUCAAUAUUUUUUCUUUCCCCCCCGUCUGCCUUUUCAGUUCAGAUUGCGUACAUAUUUCCUUUUAGUCAAAUAAUACUAAUGAUAAAAAGACAUCUUUGUAUUGACAUUUCUUCAUUAUCUCAGUUGAUUUAACUCUUGUUAUCACUCAUAAAAGUCAAGGCUCGUUGCAUAAUACAUUUCAGUUCAUUUCUGGGCCUGGUACCAAACUCCACACACGUAUGCACACAUGUACCGUGUGAUUUAAUCAUUAUUCCAAUUUUAUAUUGUUCUUCAUCAUUCUAAGUUGAAACGAUUUUCAAUGCUCUAGGAAAUAUAUACAUAUACACACCCGCUCACGUUUUCCCCAUCCAUUACAAAUUAUGCUAAGAUAUAUAUAUAUAUAUAUAUAUAUAUAUAUAUAUAUAUAUAUAUAUAUAUAUAUAUGCAUGCAUACAUAAAUGUGUGUGUGUAUAUAUGAGAGAGAGAGACUGAUAGAUACAUAGAUUGAUGAUGAUGAUUAAAAGAUGUUUACUUUUGGAGGGGAAAAUAUAAUUACGACAGUUAAAUCUAUUAAGCAAAAAAAAAAAAAAAAAAAGAGGAGGAUGAAAAAAAAUUAACGACGACGAUGACACACUUGUGAUCCUUCUUUUAAUAUUUUAAUUUCGUUUUCUUCUUUGAGAAAAUACUAGUUGCUGCGACAGAUUACUGUUACAUUGGAACGGCGGCAGCCGUGUAAGACCGGCUUGGUUAAUAUAUAGACAUGACAUCACUUCCUACACGCACCUUCUCUCUCUCUCAAUUAACAUGCCAACUUCUUGGAUCUCUUUUAAACACUCCCCUUUCCUAGCACAAUUCUUGUCGUUUUUACACAUUGUGUCAGAGUCAGACCUGAAUUUCGCUUUAUUGUCUUUCUUCUAAGAUGCUAAAAACGACUCUCUCUCGAUUCAAAAAUAGCUAGCUUAUAUUAAGUUAAUUAUUUCUUCGACUCGUGACUAACAAGCAAGCUCUCGUUGGCUUCACAUACUUUGUUUCCUUUAUUCCUUGUUAAAUGCUUUCUUUUUAAAUAGUUCAUAGCAUUAAUUCGCAUACGAAUACAAACAUUGCCAUAACAAAAAAAAAAAAAAAAAGUCGGUGACAUUUAAUUACGAAAGCCGUUAGAUUUGAUUAUGUCAUGUCUUUGCUUUGGAGCUUAAUCGCAGAAAGUGUCCUGGUUCGCGGAAACAGUUUGAGAACUUGAAAUUAUUUCAAUGAUAAUCAUUAUUUUGCAUUCUUGUCAUCUCUUUAAAUUGGUCUUAUAGACAGAUAAUGGCAGAGAUAGCAUCACAAUUUAGAGUACGAAUCUUGUUUAAAUAAUAAUAAUAAUAAUAAUAAUAAUUAUUAUUAUUAUUUUCAAAUUUUGGCACAAGGCCAGUAAUUUCAGGGAGGGUUAAGUGGAUUAGGGUCGAUCCCCAGUACUCAACUGGUACUUAUUUUAUUGACCUCAAAAGGAUGACAGGCAGAGUCGGUCUCGGUGGGAUUUGAACUCAGAACGUAAAGUGAUGGAAAAAAAUACGGUGAAGCAUUUCUCCCAGCAAAACUCUACUCGUAUAUCGAACGAAAACAAAAAAAAAAUUAACUAUUUUUUAUACUUUGUAUAUAUUUUCUUUUUUCUUUUUUAAAAUUUGUUUCUCCUUUCAAAAUUGCAGAUGUAUGUUGAGGAAAUCGUGAAACUCGAAACCAUUCUCAUCUGGUUUCAGGUAUCGGCUGUAGUUCUGAGUGGCAAUGUACGAGUAGCGUUGAAAGGUAUCUUAGAAGAAGCCGCUUAAAUGAGGAAGCUAAACUCGGCGGUAGAUUUCGCAAUAUCUCUUAUCUCCUACAGCAGGAUACGAAUGGAUGAGGUGGUGGCGGGGCUGACAUAGUAACACUUUAUAAGGAAUAGAUUUCGAUAAAGGAUCAGGGUGAUAAUGAAAUUCUUACUAUACACUACUUAUAGACAUGUUUGAAUUAAAACACGAACUACACAGAUUGUUGGUUACGCUAACAUACACUGACAUUAACCACAAAACGGUCGAGCUAAUCAGGGAACCUUUUCAACAGGGAUGAGGAACAUGUAUAGUUACAGCGGCGAAUAGUAAGUGUGUCUGUACUGAGAAAGCUAAUUACAAAUUCCUUGUUAUAUAACUAUAUUAAAUUACUAUUUUAGGGCGAUCUUUCGUCUCUAGUAGACCUUUCCGUCGAUUUCCGUAAAAAACUUUUUUUUUUUUACAUAUGGGCUUGCGGUCUCCCAUACCCCAUCAAACACACACACACACAUGCACAUGUACAUCAAUGCUUCCCAUGCACGGUAACUUCAAAAGAACUUUCCUCGUCAUACAAUCGCUUUCUCUUAGUCUCUUUCGCUCUCAUUACUUCAAAAGUUCCCGCAAGCCCAUAUGUAAAAAAAAAAAAUUUUUUUUACGGAAAUCGACGGAAAGGUCUACUAGAGACGAAAGAUUGCCCUAGUUUAGUUUUGAGGAUACCGUUCUUUUUAUCUUUUUUGCUUUGGGAAACUUCGUCAGUGAGCGGUUUCAUAUUUCAGUGGUCAGAAUUGCCCACCCUUCUUACUCUACGCUGUCACUCGACCUGCUUCAAACAGUGGUCAGCUCUCUCUGACAGUCUGCCCUUUAAAAUAAAGGAUAUAUUGGACAACGUAAUCCUUGAUAUACUAAAAUAUGGGAUCAUCAUAGGUGGAGCGCUUUGAUCCGCAACUCUGCUCGUUCAAGGCUAACCUGGACCUAAACAAAAACACCAACCACCAGAUUGUUGUAUUCUCAACCAGUUGGCAAAAAACUGGUUGAGAACAGCUGCGUGUACUUUUACACUGAACUAUCAACUUCCAACUGAAUAUACGGUCUUGAAGCUCUUUGUUUGGUAAAAUUUUCGUGUAACACCCUCACGAUUUUCACUAAAAAAGAAAAAAAAUUUCGGAAAAAAUCCGAGUUUUUUUUUUCUUAGUGAAAAUCGUGCGGGUGUUACUCGAAAAUUUUACCCUUUGUAUUGGCUUGGGGUUUACAAAUUUUGAUUAACCCAGUUAGCUAAUAUUGUUUCAAAUUUUGGCACAAGGCCAGUAAUUUAGUGGGAAGGGUUUUGUCAAUUACAUCGACCCUAUAAUAAAUCAGCACUUUAUUUUUUUUAUCAACACUAGUGGGAUGGGGGAAGGGAAGUUGACCUUGGUGGAGUUUGGACUCAGAACAUAAGCUGGAAGAAAUUCUAAGCAUUUUCUCCAAUGUGUUAACGAUUCUACCAAUUUGCCAAGCACAUUAAGUUAGUGUUGAGUUUAGGGUGUAUAAUUCCAGAGGUAUUCUGAAAAGUUGAUAUGUAAGCUUAGGUAGAAAGUAAUAAAAAAAACCAAAACUUUUUAUUACAAAGAUAAAAAAAAGGAAAUUUUUUAGAGCAAAAGCAUUGGAAAAGUAACCCAGACAUGAGAGAUAAGUUUACUUGAAAAUAAAGUAAGGAAACAUGAGAAAACAAUUUAAAAAAAAAAUUAAAUCCAGUUUUGAUAUACUAUAUAUAUGUGUGUGUGUAUGUGGUUAUAGUAUGGCUUCUUAUUUAGCUACAGGUCAGCCCUGAUUGAACAAAAUCCAUGACCAAAGGAGUCAUAUCUAGAGCCCCAUUAUCCAAUAUGUUCCUCUUUUUUAAGAUAGAAAAGUGUGAUUUAAUGGAGAUUUGACUGCUAUUUCUAGCUUCAGAAAAUACAAGUUAAGAUUACUAAUCUCUAGUUAGUUUAGGUAUUAAAUGAUGUGGGAGUGGGAGUUAGUGGUGUUAAAACAUUGGUUUAGGCAGAAUGGAUGAUGACUGUGAGGGAUGGUUGAAGGGAAUGAAGAAAGAAUAAUAGGAGCUUUGUUUUGAGGGAAUACUCCCAUUAAGACUUCUGCUUGUAGAGUAUACAUUAGAUUGAAGAAUAACCAGCUGGCAGGAACAAUUUUGUGAAUGCUGCAAGAUUGAAAGAUAACGUGUUGAAAAAUGUGCCAUAGUGUUGGUAUUUGGUUCUCUUGUUAAUAAACCGUUGGAGUGGGUAGGCAUUGGGAAUGUGUGAAAUUCUUGGUUGAAUCUGUCUUCAGUUUAAAAAAGGAAUUUUUUCCCAGAUCUUAGUUUUCUGUAUGACUGAGGAAAAGCACCUCAGAACAUUACACAUAGUAAAUACAUAAGUUGACAAAAAUCCCCCCUAAAGUUUGUUUAAAUAUAUGAAAAGCAAGGGAGAUAAUUCUGACAAGCUCAACUAACUGAAAUUUUCUGAAAAUGAAGACAGUGGAAAUGAAUCUGUGGACUUGUUUUAGUCUUGUUAUAAUCCUCCACAGCAAAACAUAUUUUGCUCAGUUGGUAAGGUUUAGAAGUGAUCAGUAUGUAAACAAACUGAGGGACUGUCUGAUAUUGUUGAUUUAAAUAUUUAACAAUAUAGCUGAGAGAAAAUACCACAUAGUUUAUACUAUGAAUGUUUCAUGAUUGUUAAGAGAGUUAACUGGAGAAAUUUCCUCUUAUAUUUAGGUAAGCAAAAGCUAAUCUUAGUAAAAUGGUAAGUUGCGACAUUCUUGACUUUUUCUAUAGCAUUUAUCAGGAUAUCCUACCAAACUAGCUUGUAAACAUAAUUUCUCAGCUGGGGUUCACAUAGCUACUGGGUUUUGGGGCUAUGUAUAAAAAUGAGAUAUUUGGUGGGGUCACACACAAAUUCAAAUACCAGGUCUGUCUUGUCUUAGUUCUCAUAUUUCAUUCUUUGUGCUAAUUUCAAGACAAUAAAUAUUGUGAUAUUUUGUUGCCUUUUCUCACUCUUAAUCUUGUUAUCUCUAGCUUUAAGCCUGGUUACUUAUCUACUAUCAAAAUCUCACAAUCAUUUUGGCAUUCUAUGAUGAGAUUAUCUUCAUUUGUCAUAAAUAAAACUGAGUUUAAUUCAACCACAAAUCUGACACUUAAUAAAAUGCCAGUCAUAUUUUUUUUAAGAAUGCAUAUUAUUAACCCUUCAGUAUAUAAAAUGGCCAUAUAGGCACAGGAGUGGCUGUGUGGUAAGUAGCUUGCUAACCAACUACAUGGUUUUGGGUUCAGUCCCAUGCAUGGCAUCUUGGGCAAGUGUCUUCUGCUAUAGCCCCGGGCUGACCAAUGCCUUGUGAGUGGAUUUGGUAGAUGGAAACUGAAAGAAGCCUGUCGUAUAUAUGUAUAUAUAUAUAUAUAUAUAUAUAUAUAUAUAUGUGUGUGUGUGUGUGUGUGUGUGUGUUUGUCCCCCUAGCAUUGCUUGACAACCGAUGCUGGUGUGUUUACGCCCCCGUCACUUAGCAGUUCAGCAAAAGAGACCGAUAGAAUAAGUACUGGGCUUACAAAGAAUAAGUCCCAGGGUCGAUUUGCUCGACUAAAGGCACUGCUCCAGCAUGGCCGCAGUCAAAUGACUGAAACAAGUAAAAGAAAAAAAGAAAAAAAUCCAGUCCAAAUAUCCUACCUGUUUUAUGGUCAAACCAGCCAGAUCCAGUCUCUUACACCUACUUUACAAUGCCAUUCUUAUAAUAAACAAGCACAUCAUCAAAAUCUUGAAGAUACAAAAUAAUGCAUGAUCAAUUCAAAACAAUAUGAAUAAAUUAAUAUUUGACAGAGAAAUAUGAAUUCUAAAGGGUUAAAGUUAAAUUUUGUCUGUCAUUAAAGCUUAUGCUCAGGGCUGUUGCUAUGCACUAGGCAAACUAUGUAAUUGUUGAGGUGCUUAAGUUGGUGUUCCCGCAAAUAACUUACACCAAGUGUUUUUUUUUUUAAAGUAAAUAAAAACACAAAGGCUUAGCAAAUAAAGAAAGCAGGUGUGGUCACUCCUGGAACAAAAAAUAGAAGACAUGGGUGGAUGGGGAGGAAGCUCAGUUGGCGUUAUGACCUGUAAUGUGAUUUAGCAUGAAGCAUUCCAAAUUUUGUCCAGUUACAAAAUUUCGUCCAGUCAUGAAUUAAGAGUAGAAAAGAAUAAUAAUAAUGAUUAUAAUAAUAAUCCUUUCUACAACAGACACAAGGCCUGGAAUUUUGGGAUAGGGGGUAUAUCGAUUACAUUGCCCCCACCCCCAUCCUGAGCUCAACUAGUACUUACUUCAUUGACCUUGAAAGGAUGAAAAGCAAAGUUGACCUAGGUGGAAUUUGAACUCAGAAUGUAUAGAUGGAUGAAAUGUUGUUAAGCAUGUUGUCUGGCUCGCUAACAGUUCUGCCAGUUCACCACCUUAAUAAUAAUAAUAAUAAUUAAUAAUAAUAAUAAUAAUAAUAAUAAUGGCUUCAAAUAUUGGCAUAAGGCCAGCAAAUUCUGGGAAGGGGUUUAGUCAAUUACAUUGACCCCCCCCCCCAGUGCUCAAUUAGUACUUAUUUUAUUGACCCAGAAUGGAUGAAAUGCAAAGUCGACCUUGCAGGAAUUUGAACUAAGGACGUAAAGACAGAUGAAAUGCAACUAAGCAUUUUUGCCUGAUGUGCUAACUAUUCUGCCUGCUCACCACCAUAAUAAUAAUAAUAAUAAUAACAACAACAACAAUAUCUGAAGUUUGUACUCAGAAACAGCUUUUAAUGUUUUUCUUUUUCAUCAGAUUGUAUUUGAUUUUACUAUUCAGUCACAGAACACAGUCAAUUUGAAGCCUUUAUAUAACUGACACCAGAUGUUUACUUCACCUUCAGAUAUAAUUUGGUCACUAUAAAUGUAUUAGAUUCAUAAUAGGCACAAGUAUAACUGUGUCAUGAAGAAGGUUACCUGAAAAGUAUGUUUCUGGUUCGAUCUUACUGCAUGGCACCUUAGGUAAGUGUCUUGAGGGUGCAAUCUGUACUACAAGAUAAUGAAAUACCAUCAGUUACAUAGUGGCCCCACACCUCAUAGCAAUGAACUGGACCAACCUUCAUAGAAUUAUUGAGAAUGAAUUACCUGUCUUGUCUCUGCACAGGACACCACUCUGUUAAUGUCCAGCUAUUUAGCCAACAAAACUAACUCCUUAAGAUCCUAUUCAGUUCUGACUUACAGGUUUAGAAGAAAAGAUUUAAUUAAAUUGAAGUGAACAAUAUCUUCUAUUGUUAUUAUUAUUAAGGUGGCGAGCUAGCAGAAUAGUGCCAUUUCGUCUAUCCUCACAUUCUGAAUUCAAAUUUUGCUGAGGUUGACUUUGCCUUUCAUCAUUUCAGAGUCAAUGAAAUAAGUACCAGUUAUGCACUGGGGUCGAUGUAAUUAACUUGCCCCCUCCUCCAAAAACUUCAGGCCUUAUGCCUAUGGUAGAAAGGAUUAUUAUUACCUUCGCUUUAGGAAAGGUGGAGGUAUUGUUUUCAGUCAUGUUUGUUUGUUUGUUGACAAAAUAUCUCAAGAACUGUUGGAUGGAUUCAGAUGAAACUUUCAGGGAUGUUUGGUCUCAUGACUGGCACAAACUGAUUAGAUUUUGGCGUUGAUCCAGUACCGGACAGCAAUUUUGGAUUAUUUUUCUGAUUUUUUUUUACUUAAUUUUUGCGAGUGGUUGGGUUCAUUUUUAGUAUUUUCGUUUGUGAGAUCAGUCAGGUUUAUUUCAGAUAUUCUCAUUUUAAAAAUCAUCUCUGGCUAAUCAUUGAGAGGAUGUUGGUGUUGCCUUGGCAAAGGUUUGCGCUCUCUGAGUGCUCUUACCAUUAUUAUUCCGCCGAAGUUGACUUUGCCUUUCAUCCUUUUGGGGUCAAUAAAUUAUCAGUUGAGUAUUGGGGUUGAUGUAAUCGACUUGGCUCCCCGCUCCAAAUUUCAGGCCUUGUGCCUAUAGUAGAAAGGAUUAUUAUAAUUCUUGAAAGGCAGUGAGCUGGCAGGAUUGUUAGUACCAGUCAAAUACUGGGGUUGAUGUAAUCAACUUUUCCCCCUCCCUAUGGCUGUGUGGUUAAGAAGUUUGCUUCACAGCUUUGUGGUUUCUGGGUCAGUCACACUGUGCUGUACCUUAGACAAGUGUUUUCUAUAGCCUCUGGUUAAUCAAUAUCUUGUGUGUGAAAUUGGUUGAUGGAAACUAUGUGGAAUCCUAUGUUAUAUAUAUGUGUGUGUAUCUUUGUCUCUGCAUGUCUACACAGUGGCACUUGAGCAGCGGUGACAUUUUGUGUCUAAUAACAAAAGAGGUAUAGCUCUUGUUUUUGACAUGAGAAGACAUGAAUUAAAAAUACUUGAGAGAAUCACCAAUGCAAUAUCUUACAAAGGUCCCUGAAGGAACAGACAGUUUGCUUAGUCUCUAGUCCCACCCACCUCACAGAUAAUUAAUCUUGUGUAUAUGAAACAUCUUUUGUACUUAGCAUGUCCUUAUUGUCAUAUAUAACUUGCCAAGAGGUAAAGAACUCAACAAAAAUCUAAUCAUUGUCACCAUCAUCAUGAUCAUCACUGUUAUCAUUAUCAUCAUCAUCAUUAUAGCAUUCCACUUUUCCAUGUUUGGUUUGUGUGUGUUGGAUAGAGUUUACUGAGGUAGAUUCUCUGUGGCCAAAUACCGUUCUUGUCACCCAUGCUCACCUGUUUCCAAGCAGGGGGGCAGGCGUGUUUUCAGAUAAUUGGAGAUGAAUGACAUUGCUUGUAUGAUAGUGACAAUCAUUUACAAUUAUCACACGAAAGAGAUCUGCCAAAUCCACUCACAAGGCUUUGGUUGGCUCAAGGUGAUAAUAGAAGACACUUGCCCAAGGUACCAUGCAAUGGAACUGAAUCUAAAACCAUGUGGUUGAGGAGCAAGCUUCUUAUCCGCAUUGCCAUGCCUGCAUCUAAUUGGUGUACCAAAUGUUGUCAACCCCACCAUGCAUACCAUACACACACCUCUCCAAUUACCUGUCUGCCUGUCAAUUAUUUUUCUCAUCUCUUUUCUUUUCUACUUUUUCUUUGUUUUAUUAUAUUCAGGUCCAGAUUAAGGCCAACUGAUGCCCUCAGUGUAGCCCAACAAUACUACCCCUAUUGACCCUGCCCAUUGUCUAACUGACAAGACAUGAGCGUUGAAUAUAAAAUAAUAGAUAAUAAAUUCAUUUUUUUUCUUCAGGGCUAAAUCCCAACAACUAUAGUAAAUACAACCUCUUUUUUUAAUUUCAUUUAUUUGACACUUAACAGUAAGCUUUAUAAGUAUAUCAUUUACUCUUAAGUGCAGGAGUGGCUGUGUGGUAAGUAGCUUGUUUACCAACCACAUGGUUCCGGGUUCAGUCCCACUGCAUGGCACCUUGGGCAAGUGUCUUCUACUAUAGCCUCGGGCUGACCAAAGCCUUGUGAGUGGAUUUGGUAGACGGAAACUGAAAGAAGCCCGUCGUAUAUAUGUAUAUAUAUAUGUGUGUGUGUGUGUGUGUCUGUGUUUGUCCCCCUAGCAUUGCUUGAUAACCGAUGCUGGUGUGUUUAUGUCCCCGUUACUUAACGGUUCGGCAAAAGAGACCGAUAGAAUAAGUACUGGACUUACAAAAGAAUAAGUCCCGGGGUCAAGUUGCUCGAUUAAAGGCGGUGCUCCAGCAUGGCCGCAGUCAAAUGACUGAAACAAGUAAAAGAGUAAAAGAGUAAUACAACAGAAAGAAAAAAACUGCACAUUUUCAACUCGUUAUUUUUGAUUUUUUUUUUUUAUUAAAGAUAAAACUGUUGUAAGAGAAAAACAUAAAUUAAAAAAAAAUUACUGGAAUUUUUAUUUAUGAGCUCCUGUGCUGGUGGCAGAUAAAAAGCACCAUCCGACCGUGGCUGAUGCCAGUACCCCCUGAUUGGCUCCUGUGCUGAUGGUUCGUAAAGAGCGCUAUCUGAACGUGAUUGAUGCCAGGCCCACCUGACUGGCUCCUGUGCUGGUGGCACAUAAAAAGUACCCACUACACUCUCAGAGUGGUUGGCAUUAGGAAGGGCAUCCAGCUGUAGAAACAUUGCUAAAUCAGAUUGGAGCCUGGUGCAGCCAAUGGUUCUCCAGACCUCAGUCAAACUGUCCAAUCCAUACCAGCAUGGAAACUGGAUGUUAAAUGAUGAUGAUGAUGUAUGUCACCACUAUUUUACAUCUGUUUUUCUAUGCGGAUGGUUUGAACAUAAAUCAAGUAGACUAUUGUGGCCUAACAUCACCAGUUUAAGCACCAAACGGUUAAAUGUAAUUCAUUGUAGGUAGCAUUUGUUUUAGACCAGUCAUUGGACAACCUGCAGCUCAUGGGUCUUUCUGAAUGGCACACCUACCUUAAGAUUUUCUAGUAGCAUGACCCACCUGAUGAUGGAACCAUGUCUCAUGAGGCCUGCAUCUUGAGAAAAGUUGUUCAAGUCUGGGUGAGGCUGACUCACAGCACAACCUGUCUAUGGAAUUAGAUAUCUAUCCCUUAAUUUUGUUUCUCAUGAAAUAAAUUAAUUUAUUUAAUGAGAAAUUCAGGAACUUCCUUGUUACUUCAGGUCAUCAAACACAUAAAAAUUAGACUAAUUUCUUGGUUCAAAAUGCUUACCAAAAUACUGUAAAUGAACAAAAUGACAUACAUAUAAGAAUGGCAAUAAUGUAUGUGUGUGAGUUUGGAAUUUUUAGGGUGUUUUAUGACAAUCAAUGUUACACGUGACUAAUUUGUUGCUUCAGUAAUGUAAACUGCAGGUCAAAGCUCCCAUCAUUGUUUUAACCCUUUAGUGUUUAAACCGGCCAUAUCCAGCCCAAAUAUUCUAAACGUUUUAUAUUCAAACUGGCGAUAUCUAGCCUCCCACACCUAACCUACAAUGUCAUGCUAAAAAUAAACAAUCACAUCACUGAAACCUCAAAGCUAUGAGAUAAUGCAUGAUUAAUUCAAAACAAUUUGAGUGAAAAAGUAUUAUAUUUAACAGAGUAAUCUGAACACUAAAGGGUUAAUAUCAACAUUCCCAUGUAUGCAUGGGUCAGAUAUAGUUUACUGAGGUAGAUUUUUGGGCCAAAUGCUCUUCCUAUCACCCAACUUUUACUUGUCACCCACUAAGGUGAUAUUUCCUCAAGGCCAGACAUUUUUUUCCCCCUACCAGAAUAUUGGUAACAAAUCAUAUUCAUUUACAAUAAUCAUGUAAUGUAAACAUAAACGCACACACACACACACACACACACAGACAUGUUUGGGUGUAGUUGUUUGUGUCUCCUUCUCUUGACAUUACAUGAGUGUUGUAAAUGAAUGUGAUUCAUUUCCAGCAUUCUAGCAAAAAACAUGUUUCUGCCUGCCAAAUCCCCUCACAAGGCUUUGGUUGGCCGGGGGGCCACAACUGGAGAUGCUUGCCCAAGAUGACAUGCAGUGGGACUGAAUCCAAAACCAUGUGCUUAGAAAGCAGACUUCCUAACUCCACAACUAUGCCUGAAUCUAGUUUAUUAAUCUCCAUAGCUACAUCAAAACACAAACGAUCCACAUGCCUUUGCAGGUAGUGAUUGCCUCAUGGCAGAGUGAGUCACUGAGAUUACUCUUUGUAGCAGUUGCCAGAUUACAAUUGUGUUGUAAAAACUUAUUAAAUAAUUUAUGAACUGAUGGUUCUGUUUUGUUUUUAUGUAUGUGUGUGUGUGUGUGUAUAUAUAUAUAUAUAUAUAUAUAUAUAUACAUGUGUAUGUAUGUGUAUAUGAAUAUUCAUUUAUUGUGGGCACUCCUUUUGUGGGAUCCAAGUUCAGCUGCACUAUACAAAAUCUAGCAUGGUGGGGGGCAAAAAAAACUUUCAGUUGUUCCCUCUUCCAUCAGUGUCCAAAAGUGUGCAUUUAUUCUGCUUAGCGAUUAAUCCAGUCCAUAUUAUGUUUGAAUAUUUUUGUUGUUUUCUUAAGAAUUAAAGGCGGUGCUCCAGCAUGGCCACAAUCAAAUGGCUGAAACAAGUAAAAGAGUAACAAUGAAUGGAUUUAGGUCAGUUGGAGAAGUUUUCUUUAUGAAACAAAAACCAAGGAAAUAAACUUGUUUUGCUGUUUUAAUAAUAAGGGAAUGUGGUUGCAUAUCUGUCCUCUGCACACACACACACACACACACACACACACACACACACACACAUGCAUUGUUUUUUUUUGUAUAUUUGUUUUGCUAGUAAAGGUGAUGUGACUACCUGUGAAAUAAUAAAGUCUGUCAAAUAGAAUCAUUAACAUUCUAUUUUACUUUUAUCGUGAAUUUUUUCUCACUUAUUGUUCAUAUAUAGGUGCAGGAGUGGCUGUGUGGUAAGUAGCUUGUUUACCAACCACAUGGUUCCGGGUUCUGUCCCACUGCGUGGCACCUUGGGCAAGUGUCUUCUACUAUAGUCUCGGGCCGACCAAAACCUUGUGAGUGGAUUUGGUAGACGGAAACUGAAAGAAGCCCGUCGUAUAUAUGUAUAUAUAUAUAUAUAUGCGUGUGUGUGUUUGUGCGUCUGUGUUUGUCCCCCCCCCUAGCAUUGCUUGACACACGAUGCUGGUGUGUUUAUGUCCCCGUUACUUAGCGGUUCGGCAAAAGAGACCGAUAGAAUAAGUACUGGGCUUACAAAAGAAUAAGUCCCGGGGUCGAGUUGCUCAAUUAAAGGCGGUGCUCCAGCAUGGCCGCAGUCAAAUGACUGAAACAAGUAAAAGGGUAAAGAGUAAAGAGAGUCUUUAUAAAUUUUGUAUUUUAUAAUUAUAAAGCCAUACUCUGGAUUUACAUGCAAGAACAGAGGUGCAGGUGUGGUUGUGUGGUUAAGAAGUGUGCUUCUCAACUGCAUGGUUUCAGGUUCAGUCCCAGUGUGGCACCCUGGCUAAGUGUCUUCUGCGAUAGUGCUGGGUUGAGUACUGGGGUUAAUGUAAUCGACUUGGCUCCUCCCCCGCAAAUUUCAGGCCUUGUUACUCAGUGAUAUCACUGUUGAAAUGAAUUUUUUUCAUUUCUUCUUUUAUAUUUAUUCUUUACAUAUACUUUUAGUCUGUUGAAAGUUCUGAAUGAUUUGAAAAUUAUUUAAUAAUGAUGAUAAUAAUAACAAUAGAAGCACUCAGAGAGCUCAAACCUCCGUCAAGGCAACCUCUCAACAAUUAGCCAGAGAUGAUUUUAAAAUUAUUACUAUAAUAAUAGUAAUAAUUGUUGUAGUUAGAUUUAGGUUUCUAUAAAAAUUCAUUCACAAUUACUAAUGAAACACAGAAAAUUACUUGUACACAUUUUGUAAUGAUGUGUGUGUGAGAGAGAGAGAGAGAGGGGUAUGUGUGUGUAUGAUAUAAAUUAAAUCUUAGAAUUUAGGGAACAAUAUGAAGCCCCUGAAAUCGUUUUAAUGCAUUUUCCCUCACCUCCUUUUUUGUAUCUAUUUAUAAUAUUUCUUAUGAAAACAGGAAAUAGUUACUUGUGAUUAUUUUUUUUACAUAUAUUUGAGACUUAGGGAAUAAUGUAGCAGUCUCAUAAUUUAAAAAUCUCUCUCCCUCCCCCCCUCUCUCUCUCUGCCUAUCUAUCUAUCUAUCUGUCCUGUCUCAUUAGUACACUAAAUUCAUUGUGCAAAGAAUAUUCACUUCCUUGAAAUUUUGACUAACACAGUAGCAUAGUUAUACACACACAAAUACACACUCACAAAUACAUAUAUACAUAAUUCUUUUGUCAAUUUGUAAUUCUAGUAAUGUUAUUUUCUGUAUUCUAUAAUUAAACCACUUCAGCAAUAAACUGAAACUUAUUUUCCAUUUGGGAAAAAAAAAAAAAAGCUGUAGUGUUGAAGUCUGUAUGCCUGGGAAAAGUAUAAUUCUGGACAACAGCAGCAGUGUGGAGGCGCAAUGGCCCAGUGGUUAGGGCAGCGGACUUGCGGUCGUAAGAACGCAGUUUCGAUUCCCAGACCGGGCAUUGUGAGUGUUUAUUGAGCAAAAACCCCUGAGCUCCACGAGGCUCUGGCAGGUGUGGUGGUGAACCCCGCUGUACUCUUUCACCACAACUUUCUCUCACUCUUUCUUCCUACUUCUGGUGUAACCCACUAUGGUGUAACAUGGUGUAACCCACUAUGGUGUGGUAAACUUUCAGACCCUAGUCUAGAUUGCGAAUCCUCUGUACCCCAGGAUGGUUCAGCUCUCCACCCGUUAAAAGCCACCGUUUACGGAAUGAGGAUAACAGUGUAGCUUUCGCGCCCGUGCAACCGCGUGUGGUGGGUGGAUCUUCAAGUUGCCACACGCAUUCUUAGUAGCUUAGAGUAGGCUCGAAUAAGAUUAUUCUUUGUGGCUAAUGGCGUGAGUCCUGAUUGGAAGAAGGAGAAGAAGAAGAAAAAGAAAACAGCAGUAGCAGCUUCAACAACAACAAUAAUAUAGGUUUCGAAUAUUGGGACAAGGCCAGUAGUUUUGGAGGAGGGGGCAAGUCUGUUAUAUUGUAUUGACUCCAGUGUUCAACUGGAAGGAUGAAAGGCGAAGUCAACCAUGGCAGAAUUUGAACUCAGAAUGUAGAGAUGAAUGAGAUGCUGCUUAGCAUCUUGCCCAGUGUGCUAACGGCUUUGCCAACUUGCUGCCUUAACAACAACAACAAUAAUAAUAAUAAUUCUUUCUACUCUGAGGCACAAGGCUUGAAAUUUUGUGAAGAUGGGCUUGUUGAUUACAUUAACUCCAAUAUUCAACCGGUACUUAUUUUAUUGACCCCGAAAGGAUGAAAGGCAAAGUUGACUUUGGUGGAAUUUGAACUUAGAACAAAGCGGAAUACCGCUAAGCAUUUCGCCCAACAUGCUAAUGAUUCUGCCAGCUCACUGCCUUCGUAACAAUAAUGAUGAUAUUUUCUAAGGUAUAUAUAAGGCCACUUAUUUUGUGAGAGGACAGAGUUAAGUCUAUGCUCAUACUUAAGUGGUACUUGUUUUAUCCACCCUGAAUGAAUCUCUUUUACUUGUUUCAGUCUGAAUCUAAAGGGUCAGAUCUGUCCAUCCAUCAGUUGGGCUUCCACACAGUUUCUGUUAAUGAAAUCCAUUCAGAAGAUAUCAAGAUAUUACCUAUUUUUGUAUAUCUUGGAUUACAAUGUGCAACAAGUUUUUUUUUUAAGGCAGUAUUGUGUGAGACAGAGAGAUUUGGUUGCUAUUUUCAGCAUGUAGGUUUGAUUGCAUACAAGCUCAAUAUUUUCAAUAGUUGUUUAUGUAUGUUAUUCUUCUUCUUAUACCCUAUUUAAAGCAUCAUAUUAUGUCUUCCUUUAGAUAUAAUUGAUAUUCUAAAAAUUAACAGAAAAAUCUAUAUUUACUGUUCAAGGAGAUAAGCACUGCAAUAUAUAUGAUCAAUUAAUCUUCCUGGAAAAUGAAAACGAUCAGUCAUUGACAAGCAGUUUGUUUUCCUCACUGCGUAUUUAUUUUUGGAUAAGUGCAGGUUUUUGGUUCAGUCCCACCCACUGUGUACCGUCUUGAACAAGUCUUUUCUGUUGAUGCUAAUCAAUGUCUUGUGAGGUGGAAUUGACUGAGAGAAUCUAUGGAUACCUCUGUGUGUGUGUGUGUGUGUAUAUAUAUAUUUCUCUCUCAUCCUUUCUCUAAUUCACUUCUUUUUCCAUUUCACUGUUUUCUAUCUGUCUCUCUCCCUCUUUCUCCAUUUCUCUCUCUCGUUGCUCAAACGUGACCAUCGUCCAUCUUUCUCUUCCUCAUGUGAUCAUUAUUUUUUUUCUUUCAGGACUUUCCUAAGGACAGCACAUCUCUUAUCUCUCUCUUCUAUCUUUUUUCUUGUCAAAGAAAAUAUUUCUCCAGCAUUAGCUAUUUUACCCUUGUUUUGGUCUAACGACCUUCCAUGUUUGUUUUUGUUUGGUUUCCUUGUAUGUCUCACUGUCCUAUUUUCCUUCCUAACUUUGACCCUCCAUAAAUCCCAAAUUUAAUUUUGGUACUUAUAGGAGCAACUAUUUUCGAAGACUCAUAUUGUCGUUAAAUGCUCGAAAUGAAGAGUAGAUAGACAGCCGACAACUGAUGUAGGGUCAUUCUUUGUUACUUGUCCUGUUUUCCAUUUCUUUCUCUCAUUGUUUGCGUAUAGAACUCAUUUGUUUACGUAUUUCAUGUUGGUGACAUCCUGUACCUAUAUAUGCAUGUCAUCAUCAUCAUCAUCAUCGUUUAGCGUCCGUUUUCCAUGCUGGCAUGGGUUGGAUGGUUCGACUGGGGUCUGGCAAGCCAGGAGGCUGCAUCAGGCCCCAAUCUGAUCUGGCAGUGUUUCUACAGCUGGAUGCCCUUCCUAACACCAACCACUCUGAGAGUGUAGUGGGUGUUUUUUACGUGCCACCAGCACAAGGGACCAGAGGAGCUAGCAUCGACCAUGACUGGAUGGUGCUUUUUAUGUGCCUCUGGCACAGAAGCCAGUCAAGGUGGCACUGGUACUGGCCAUGUUUGGAUGGUGCUUUUUACAUACUACCAGCACGGGCUCACGACUACAAUUUCCAUUUGAUUUGUUUUUCAUAUUGCUGAUGUUGAUGUACUUGACUCAGUAGGUCUCCUCGAGCUCGGCAUAUAUAUAUAUAUAUAUAUAUAUAUAUAUAUAUAUAUAUAUGUGUGUGUGUGUGUCUGUGACAGGCUCCUUUCAGUUUUCAUCUACCAAAUCCACUCACAAAGCUGUGGUUGGCCCGAGGUUAUAGUAGAAGACACUUGCCAAAGGUGCCAUGCAGUGUGACUGAACCCGGAACCAUGUGGUUGGGAAACAAGCUUUUUACCCCACAGCCACGCUGUAUAAAAAUAAUUUAUAGAAAUAUACAGUACAGUACUAUUUCUACUUCAUGGACUUUCACCUAUCGCAGGGGUCUUGGAACGUAACACCUGCGGUAGCCGGUGGGGAGAGGUUACUGUACUUUCCUUUUUACAUGAAUCAUGUUAAACAUCAAACUUAACAUUCUAUAAAUACCAGCUUGGUUAUUAAGUGUUGGGUGUUGUAGUAGUCAUGAUAUUAGAGUUCAUUCACUGAUUGCUUAGCUGAAAUUAUGUCUGUUGUAGAUGAAGUGGCAAUAAGUGAUUGAGAAACUGGAGGAGGAGUUGGCAGGGCAGUGGAGAAUUAAAACCAGAACACAAACAAACCAAUCCUCCCCGUUAGCUAUUUUGCUAACGGCCAUGAUUUCAGUUUUUGUGUUUUAUUUGUUCUUUCCUGAAGGCUGGCACUUGAUUGUGAAUGAAGUGUUAUGUGUGUAAGUGUUAUGUUUAUGAUGAGUCAUGUACGUGAUAUGUAGGAAGGAACCUUAUUAAUAAACAGCAGCAUAUGUGAUGUAGGAAUGGUCUACCACUCCAGAGACCUCGUCUACUACAAAAUGUACUGGGGAACUUUAUUUCACUUUCAUAGGGAGUUAUAAACAAAAAAACAAAAAAAAGAAUAAAAGAAAGAAAGGAAGUCAAAAUGCAAAUGAUAAUGAUUGGACUGUGUUGGGAAUAGAAUAGAUUUCUGGUGUCUUUGUUUACUCUUUUAAUCAUUUCAAUCAUUGGAUUGUGACCUUACUUGGGGGCCAGUCUUGAAGAUUUUUAGUGAAUCAGAUCAACACUGAUAUUUGUUUUAUUCCUUUUUCUUUUUAAAGUUUAGUAAUUAUUUUAUUAGUUUUUAUUUUUGCCAAACCAAUAAAUUAUGGGGGUGGGUUGUAAAAAACAAAAAAAAAAAAAGCAGCUGUCGAACAGGGUCACAUCAACAAAUCAUUGGGAGCAGGGCUGGUGCUAAGAAGUGUGAGGCCCAAUUAGAGAAUUAUCAGUAUGGCCUUCUAUUCUAUAAAAGCUGAAGAUUGAUGUUCUGUGCUUCAUGUUGUAUGCCAGUCCCAGCCAAAAAAAGUGUUGAGGGUUUGAGAUACUAAAAAUUCAUCGUAGCAUCUGUUUGAAUAUGUGCGCAGGGCUCCCACUUGGCACGGGGCCCAAUUUGAACAAAUCUUUCUAAUAGGUUUAAAACCAGCCCUGACUGGGAGUCAAAUUCAAAGGCAUAUACAUGCAUAUACACAUGUAAUGGGCUAAUUGUACAAUUUCUGUCUAAUAAAUUUAACAGAUUGGUUUGGCUCAAGCUAUAAAAAAAUCACUUUUUCAAGGUGUCACACAGUAUAAAAUAGACUCAACUACACAGCUGUGCCCACACCUACAUGUAUACGUUUGGUGGAUAAUAAUCGAGUGUAUAAAGGUAAUACUCAUGUUGAUGUUUCUGGGAAGGAAUGUGGCUUUUGUUUAAACCAUUAUGAUUCACAGAAAUUUUAAGAACUGAAGGAUGUUUACAGCUAUACCUGCAUUCCUAACAAGCACAGAAAAUUAAGAAUGGUACACUUGUUUUCAACUAGUUCAUUAAGUCAAACAUGGGCUGAUUAUCUGUCUUACCUGAGAACAUAGAGAAAGAGAGAUAAUACAAGGGAGUGCUGAAAAGUUCUUAGCUUUGGGUAAAAGAACAUACAGGAGGAUCAGUUAAUUAUGAUUUUGUUCAACAUAUUCCUCUCUCAGGUUCACACACUUAUUGCAGUGGUCCUUCAGUCUUUCUAAGCCCUGUAAAAGAACUCGGAAGGUUGGGCCUCCAACUAGACCUUUUGCGAUACCCUUAAAACCAGGAACUUUUCAGCAUCCCUUCAUACAUGAAGAAAGUUGAAAUUAUUAAGUAGUCUUUCCCUUUUUUCUAUUGUUUGUACCAUUAUUGAUUUUGUUUGAUUUGACUUAGUCACAAAGUUAAUUUUUAUAAGUGAUAGGUGAUUGAAUAGAUCCCAUUUUAUUGGAGGUUUUUUUAUCAAUGUUUGGGAUAUAAGGUAAAAGUCAAUCUGAAUGAUAUUUGAAGUCAGAAAUUAGAAGUAUAGAACCACAUGCUAUAAUAACACUUAGUUAAGUUUUUGUACAAUCUCGUCCAUUGCUAUACACUAUUAGUCCUAUUCUUUGUAGAAAAAUAUUAGGACAAGGAUAGCAUCUUCUAGCUUAUGAUGAGAGCAACCUUAAUGAACUUAAAUUUUAAUCUGUAUGAACAAUGUGUGAUCUGGUAUUUGCAGAUAGUGUUUGGAUAAUAAUAUUUGCUUCAAAGAGUAUUUUGUGUCAGGACACAUUGGUAUAUUAAUCCAGUGAAUUUGCAGUGUGUUCUUUAUAAUGAAACUUGAUCUGUUGUUGGGAUUAGGAACAGUAUUUGGGGUAAAAACUGAAAGAAUGUAAAUCUAGAAAAAAAAAAUGCUUGCAGUAAGAGAGUAACUAGUGUUGGAUAGGGAACUGUUACCUGGGUUAGAAUAAAAAUUGGCCAAUGCUAUGAACAGGAGGUUGUGUGAGGUUUGUAUAAGAAGUGAUGUGGUUAUGAAAUGUGGGCAUUAAACAUAGAGGGCUUGCUACAAAUGGAGAGGAAUUAGCUGAGAUUUUUUGUAUGAUCAAAUUCCAUGUGAUAACAACCCAACUCUUGAACUUUCGGAACAAAAUCAUUUGUUUUACUGUUAAAUAUCCCUGAUAGAGGAGACUGGUGUAAGAUGUCUGGUUUCUCAGUUUGUCUGUCCUUUAGUAUUUAGUUAAAAUCUACUAUUAGUUGUAAUGUUUGUUGUUACUGUUGGGUUUAAACUAACCUCUUUGUAAGGUAUCCUAGGUAGAGGUCUUCCACAUGCAUCUUCUACAAUUAACUUACACAACUUCUUUCAUCCAACAGGUAUCACCCAAUUACAUCAUAUUUCAUAAAUUCUUAACUUAACAAGUAGAGUGCUUUUCCUUAUUAGAUGUAAAAAAAAAAAAGAAGUCUCCUCAAAACAUAACCUUUACUUGCUAAUAAGUGUGGCCUUGUAGUAUGAUCCAGAUGUUCUCUAAUUGUUUUAGAUGUCUAAUGUAGUCAUAAGUGGACUUAGACACUCUCUGGGCCCUUCCAUCCCUUGAUUCAUUGGAACAUUGUGGAUGUGACACCUGAAGGGAGAAAGGGCUGCAUCAGCAUUAGGCUGGUACUCAGACCAAAGUAGCAUGAAAUGCUUUGCUCAAAAGCACAAUAUGCUGCCUGAUCCAGGACUCAAACCAAUGACCUUAGGAUUAUGAACACAACACCUUAACCACGAUGCCAUGCACCCCAGAUGUACAUUACUGAUUUAUGCUCGACAACUAGAAGAAUAUGCUGUUGAAGCUGAUGCCAGCCCUGUCUCAGCAGAGCUAAGCUCAAAGGCUUUACAGUAUGUUUUUCUACCCAUCUACUUUGUAAAGAUGAUCCAUUUGGUAUCAUAUAAUUCAGUGUUUCUUUUUAAGAUUGCAGAGUGUGAUUUGAGGAAGAUUUGGCUACUCUUAGUAGCAAAUAUCGUUAUUCUUUUGUUGGCUUGCAAGUGUCCUCUUUUUUACUGAUAGUAUAGUUAAGUUUUGAGUUUUAAAACAUGUGGUUCACAUUUUAUAUGGUGUCAAGAAGUUUGUUGAGAUGAAAAUUCAACCAGCUUAUGUAACAUGUGGUUGCUAGAAUUAUUUUAGCCUAGAAAUGUUUAUUGAAGCUGAAAAGCAGAUAAAUAUUACACACACACGCACAGAUAAGUUUGAAUGUAUACAUGUAACAGUUUUGUUGACAUGCAAAAUCGAGAUAUUCAGUGAUUCUUUUAUACGUUUCACCCUAAGGCUGUGGCCAUGCUGGGGCAAACCUUGAAAUUACUUUAGUAAUUCCUUGAAAUUAAGUAAUUUCAAGGUAAGUUAAUAUGCUUAAAAGAAAGGCGCAGGAGUGGCUGUGUGGUAAGUAGCUUGCUAACCAGCCACAUGGUUCUGGGUUCAGUCCUACUGCGUGGCAUCUUGGGCAAGUGUUUUCUGCUAUAGCCUCGGGCCGACCAAAGCCUUGUGAGUGGAUUUGGUAGACGGAAACUGAAAGAAGCCUGUCGUAUAUAUGUAUGUAUGUGUGUGUAUAUGUUUGUGUGUCUGUGUUAGUCCCUCUAGCAUUGCUUGACAACCGAUGCUGGUGUGUUUACGUCCCCGUCACUUAGCGGUUCGGCAAAAAUGGCCGAUAGAAUAAGUACUGGGCUUACAAAGAAUAAGUCCCAGGGUCGAGUUGCUCGAUUAAAGGCGGUGCUCCAGCAUGGCCACAAUCAAAUGACUGAAACAAGUAAAAGAGUAAAGAGUAUAUAUACUUGAGCACAAUGCAAUCUUGAAUAGAAUGUGCUGCCCACUACUUUUUGUAAAAAUCAGUAAUGUAUUUUAUCCUCUUACUCUGCCCCUGCUUCCUUGUUUUACAGUCUUUUGUUUUGCAAUACUAUCCUUUGAAUUGACCUCCACAUUAAAAUAUCUCCUGUUUAUACAUGAGUAAAUUAGUUAAUUAUUUUCUGAAAGUGAAACUUUAGCAUACAGGAAGUGACAGAGAGGAGAGAUGAGAGAGAUGAAAAAAAAAUAGAGAGAACAAGCAAGUAGAAAUAAAUGAAAGAGGGAAGAAGCUGUGUGUGUGUGUGUGUGCAUGUAUGGGUGUAUAUAUGUGUGUGUGUAUGUAUGUGUGUGUGUGUGUAUAUAUGUGUGUGUGUAUAUAUAUAUAUGUGUAUGUAUGUGUGUAAUUGUGUGUGUAUAUGUGUGUGUAUAUAUGUGUAAAUGUGCGUGUAUUUGUGUAAAUGUGUGUAUAUAUGUGUAUAUAUAUAUGUAUAAGUUAAACCCUCCUUCUUCCCUUCUUUCCUGAGGGUCCAAUAAUACUAUAUUUGUUCCACGUCCUCGCGUUGUUGUGUUUUUUGUGUUUUCUUGUUUGGAAAGUGAAAUGUACUUUUAAAGAACUGCUCAGUUAUAUUCGUUCUACUAUAGGCACAAGAUCUGAAAUUAUCUGGGGAGGGUGAUGGUUGAUUACAUCAACUCCGGUGCACAUCUGCUACUCAUUUCAUUGACCCCGAAAGAAUGAAAAGCAAAAUCAACUUUGAUGGCAUUUGAACUCAGAGUGUAAAGCAUGUUGAAAUGGUGCUAAGCAUUUUGCCCCAUGUGCUAAUGAUUCUGCCAGCUUGCCACUGUAAACUGCUUAAUUAUGUUAUAACUAAGACUGUAGGGUAUAGAUUCAGAGAUAUGUGACUGCUAUCAAAUGAACUUGUCGAGAUAUGUGACUGCAGGUCAAAUUAACAUGUAGAGCAGUGUUUCUUAAACUUGAAAAUUUCUUUUUUUUUUUUAGAAGCAUCAUCCGAAUGUGGUUGAUGCCAGUUCCCCGCUAAUUGGCUCCCGUGCUGGUGCCAUGUAAAAAGCACCAUCUGAAUGUGGUCGAUGCUAGUACCCCCUGACUGGCUUCUGUACCGGUGGCAUGUAAAAAGCACCAUCCAAACGUGGUCAGUGCCCCUUGACUGGCUCCCAUGCUGGUGGCACGUAAAAAGCACCAUCUGAACGUGGUUGAUACCAGUGCCUCUUGACUGACUCCUGUGCCAGUACCACGUAAAAGGCACCAUCUGAACGUGGUCAAUACCAGUGCCCCCUGACUAGCUCCUGUGCCUAUGGCACGUAAAAAGCACCCACUACACUCUCGGAGUGGUUGGCAUUAGGAAGGGCAUUCAGCUGUAGAAACCAUGCUGGAUCAGAUGGGAGCCUGGUGCAGCCUACUGGCUUGCCAGUCCUCACACAAACCAUCCAACCAUGCCGGCAUGGAAAACAGUUGUUAAACGAUGAGGAUGAUGAUUCUACACAGUUGCUUGACCUGCUAGAAACAGUAGCACUUUACUUAUCAUUUCAUUUUAAUAACCAUUACUAGUUUUAUCAUGUAUUAUAUAAUUAUUAUUAUAGGUGAAAUUUAGUAGGCUAUUUGUUACCUCACCACCCCCUUAAACUUAAUAUACCCUCACCUCCUCUCUCUCAAAGAAAAUAUACAUCUGGAUUGUACCACUGUAUGCAAUAGAAUAAAACACUGCUUAUUGCCAUAACCAUAAUAAUGUGCUCUUUUAGGGAUAAGGCAUAGUAUAUCUGGGACACUGGAUCUGUGGGUUGCUCUUUGAUGUAUCAUCAUUUAUUUAGAUGCUUUAGGUCAGCUCACUCAAGGCUAACCUGAGAUUAAACAACAACUGAUUGUGUACGUGCCAAUACACAAGGGUCUGCUUAAAUCAGGUUUAUCCUUAGAUCCUGGGGCUAAAACACAUGCCAUAAGUCUUCUUAAAUCAGGGCUGUCCUGGGUUCCUGGGACUAAACAGUAGCAAUAACCGACCAUAUAUAUGCCAUAGGUCUCCUACUCUCUACUCAAACCAGAACUGGUUUCUUUUUCUUAUGCUUGAAUCUCUCUCUUCCUCUCUCCCUCUUUGUCUCUCUGCCUCUCUCUCACUCUGUCUGUCUCUCUCCCUCUCCUUCCUUGUUUAUGGCAUUUGAUCUGGUUACUGACAUAACUUGCUUAUUUGUUAGGAUUAGGGUUAGUAAAGAUAUGCAAGGAUCAAUUUAUGAGCUGUGUUUACUCAGGUAAUCCAGGUAAUCUACUUAGGACAUCUCUGUUGCAGGUGGAACUGCAUACCAUGUUGUUUAACCCUAGAACAGGCUUUAUCCAGCAGGCCUAUGCUCUAAAGCAUUCCAGUCACAACCAUCCAGUUAUUGUUUUUUUUUUCUCGAGUAUACUGUAUCUAGAUUUGCGUUAUCCUAUAUGUCUUUCUGUUCUUUAAGAUGGUUGUAUAUGAUUUGAAAGGUAAUUUAGCUGCUACUCUUAGCAUGUUGAGAAACCACCUUGAGCAGUGAUUUUCAACCAUUUUUUUUUUUACCUAUUCUUUUAUUCUUUUAUUUGUUUCUGUCAUUUGACUGCAGCCAUGCUGAAGCAUCAUCUUUAGUCGAACAAAUUGACCCCAGGACUUAUUCUUUGUAAGCCUAGUACUUAUUCUAUCCAACUCUUUUGCCAAACCGCUAAGUUAGAGGUGGGAGACAUAAACUCACCAACAUCAGUUGUCAAGUGAUGGUGGGGGGAGAAACAUAGACACAUAAAUAUAUACAUGCAUGCAUGCAUACAUACAUACAUACAUACAUACAUACAUACGCAUACAUAUAUAUACAGAUGUACUUCUUUCAGUUUUCGUCUACCAAAUUCACUCACAAGUCUUUGGUUGGCCUGAGGCUAUAGCAGAGACACUUGCCCAAGGUGCUGUGCUGUGGGAUUGAACCCAGAACCAUGUGAAGCAACGUUCUUACCAUACACCCCUGCCUGCACCUAUAAACCUAUGGAUAUCUUUCAUUCCUAUUUGGUUUGAGUGGACCCCCAUAGCAGCCAUUCAAUAUUUAAGUAAAAUCUGAUAAUAUUUUUAUAAUUGAAUAUUAUUAAGAAUUGUAUAUAAAAAAGAGGAAUUGUUAAAAUAUUCUAUGUAUUGUUGAAGUAUAACCAAUUUAUUGCACAUAAAUUUUGAUAAAAAAAUCUUACAUGAAUCCCCAAAGGUCAUAUGAACCGUGGUUGAGAACCCUUGACCUAGAGAGUGGUUGAAAUCCCUUCAGCUUGUGGGCAAAUUUCACCUACUAUCAGAUUUGAAACCGCCUGAUAAUGAAGUCUCUAAAAUCCCCAUUUGUUAAGAAAUGGGGCGGGAUGUGGGUGGGAAGAGGAUGGGAACCUUUUUAGUCCCCAAGACUCGGUGUAUAACGAUCAAUAUGUAAAAUUAACAAGUCUUUAUUUUCUAAGUACAGAAUGUGCCUUCACAUGUUCUUACAUGCACUUUCAGUUUAUCCCUACUAUUACUAAAAGUUCCCCACCUCUGACUUUGUGACUUCCUUCCUCUGUGGCUCUGUCAUUGCAAAUGUCAUCUGUUGUGGCUUGAAACAGUUAGUUGUUAAUCUUCUGUUAUAUAAACAACAAUGAAGGUUACCUAUAUUGUAAAACAAACAACAGCACACUCUGCACUGUAAUUUAUGCCAAAUAUGAUUCUUAAAUAAUAUAAAUCCCUCACUUAAAAGAUAAAAUCCUGAGUGACCUCUCCUCUGACAGUAUGUUCUUUCAACUUACAGUGGCUUACUUAACAUGGCAAUUUGACCUUGGGAAUUGCUUUCAAAUGCUAAUUCUAAAUUGUUUUGUGUGAUAAGUUUUAUUACACAUUACAUGACCUAAUUACGAAACCUGGUGUGGAAUGGGUAAAAUAUUUUAUAACUUUAGUUAUACUGUAGAUAGAAUAAUAAUUUGUGAUCAUGGUGUGGUGGUGGCAGUGGUUGACUACUGGCUUCAUUAGAGAUAAUUCUUUCUUACAUACACACUCACACACACACUCUCUCUCUCUCUUCCUAUUUUUUCUUUAUUUCCUUGCUCUUUUUAUUUCUCUUCUUUCCCAUGCUCUUCCUGGUAUUUUCCUGGCAUUGUUUUCAUCUUGCUCUUUUUGUUUCUUCCUUGCCUUUUCACUGUCCCUGUCUAUUUUUUCUUUCUCUCUUUUUCUACUCUCUCUCUGUUUUGUUUCAUUUAAAGUUUUUUCUCCUUUUUUUUUUGCUCUUCCUUCCUUCCUUCCUUCCCUUUCACAGAAAAAUAAUUCCUGUGUCAAAUAUGUGACAUUGCAUAUAUCUGAGUGGAAAGGACUGGAUGUUGUGGACUUGUGAAUGUGUGUGUGUGUGUGUGGAGAGAGGAAGGAGCGAGAGGUGUUGUGGAGGGAGUUGAAUUGGGUAUUGAGGGGCCUUGUCUGCUUUAUAUGCAAAAGAUCAUUAUAUUGAGUAGCUGUGGGUUAAGGGGGGGCCCAUGUGACGAAAUGGUCUAGACUUUUAGCCGGUUAGUCUGAUUCAGGAACAGAGACAGAUACAACACUGGACAAAGAGUGAAGAUAGACAGAUAUAUAUAUAUAUAUAUAGGGAGAGAGAGAGAGUUGGAAGUGAUAUGAUGUUGAACAGUUACUAUAGAAUCUGUCAUAUACAAAGAGGAUCCUGCUGAGGCCUGAUGGCAACUGGCUUGAUUUAGUUGGGACCAUUGCAGAUCACUUGUAUUUAUUAAUUCUUUUAGAGAAAUGCCAUUUAAUCCCACCCCAAUAGUCUAUAAACAUGAAACCAUGAAUGAAUGAAAGAAUUAAAAAAAAAUUUUUCUUUGGUAUAUUUUAUUGUAUUAGUGUUUAAUGUAUAUUUAUUUUUCUUAAUACACGCUUAUUAUUGUAUUAUGUUUUACACACACACACACACCCACAUACACACAAUCAGUUAGAACAAAUAAUGAACAAGCAAAUGUAUACCUGCUCUCUUAAUGAUGAACCACUUCUAGCCACCUUUGAUAGGCAAUUUCAGCACCGCGUUUUCCAGUUCAAGACUGAGUCUUAGUGGCAAACCAAACUGAGCACUCAUAAGUACAUACCUAUUACAUUACGUCAAUUGACAAAAGCGUUUUUUUAUAAAUGCUACACACACACACACACACACACACAUUUACUCUUUUCUUCUUGUUUUAUUUUUCUUCUAUGCCAUGCUCUUUCUGGUGUUUUUCUGAUGUAUAUAUAUCAUCAUCAUCGUUUAAAGUCCGUUUUCCAUGCUAGCAUGGGUUAGAUGGUUUGACUGGGGUCUGGGAAGCCAGGAGGCUGCACCAGGCUCCAGUCUGAUCUGGUAGUGUUUCUACAGCUGGAUGCACUUCCUAACGCCAACCACUCCGUGAGUGUUGUGGGUGCUUUUUAUGUGCCACCGGCACAGGUGCCAGGGGAGGCUGGCAAUGGCCACGAUCAGUUGGUGCUUUUUAUGUACCACCGGCAUGGAAACCAGUCAAGGCGGUGCUGGCCUUGGCCAUAUAUAUAUAUGUUUGACCUGUCAUCAUUUUUACUAAAGCUUGUGUAUAAGUGUGUAAGUGGUUGAGUAUGUGGUUGUGAUUAUUUUCCUUUAUUUAAAUGAAGGUCAUGAAAUUUUUAUAAGUAAAGCUGAUUCAUGAGAACAACUCUACUUUCCAAUGAAUCUUGUGUCUUUAGUUUCAAAAUGGUUCCUCAUGUAGGUAUUAGUUUUGCUUUGACUGUCCUUUAAAUUAUGUUUCUCUAAUUAUUAAAUUAAAUUCUAUUGCUAUCCUUCUUUUUUUUAUGUCAAAUGACUGAAAUAAGUAAAAACUUAUUUCAGUCAUUUGACUGCAGCCAUGCUGGAGCACUGAAUAAUACUUACAUAAUGUAGCAGGCAGUAAUAGUGACUAAAACAAUAAUGUUUAGUAGAAUUAUUCUAUGUUUUGAGCUCAAUUACUUCUUGUGUUGAUUUUUGUCUCCAUCUUAUGAAGUUGGAUAGAAUGUCUACCAGUUUUAGGAUAGAAUCAUUUUAAUCACACAACCAUCUUCUAAAACUCAAUCAUGACCAUCUUCUCAAAGUCAAUCACGACCAUCUUCUAAACGACAAAUCUGGAGCCUUGUCUCUGAUUAAGAAGUGAAUAUUUUAUUAAAGGUGCUUCUGGCAAUAAAUUCCUAUAUUUUGUACUGUAAUUAUUUUGAAUAUCAAGUCUUGUCCAUUCUCAAUUUUCUUUUGAAGAAAGCUGAUAUUGAAAGUUUUUGGAUUUGAAGAGAUUAACAAACCUAUUGGAACAUACAUUCUACCAUUGUUUCCCAAAUUGUAUUUGGCUAACAGUUUGCAGUUGAUUUUGGUUUGGAAAAUAAAAUGAAGAAACUUAUUGCAAUCAAUUAUGCAAUAUUCUUUAAAAGCUACUUGAAAGACCAUAAAUAAACAUGUAGUGCUAUGUAACAUUUAUAUGUAAAGAAUAAAAGAUUGGAAACUUUUGAACAGGACAAGGGCAUAAAUUAUUCUUUUAUAGGUUUUUGUUAUUGGGCUGUGGCUAUCAAGGGACAUGAACUCUUAAAGUAUAGCUGAUUGCAUUGACCCUCACCUUUAGAAAGUUAAAAAGUGAAAAAGUGAAGUAGGUUUUGAUGGGAUUUGAAUUUAGGGUAUGAGGAAUAUCAUAAACUAAAAAUACCUGUAUGUGAUAUUUUGUCUGCCACUGUUACAAUCUACCACACUUAGGAAAAUAAGCUCAGCAGAACCCACUACUCUUCAAGAUAUACUGAAAAGAGGACUUUUUUUAAAGUUAGAAUUAUGAGCUAACAGAGCUUUCAUCUCUUAUAUAUUGUUUCCUGCUAUCCCUUAAAUAUAAGACACACAUGCAUGUGAACGUACACACAUAAACACUCUCUCUCACAGUUUGGUUGACUCAGGCUAUUGAAAGAGGUUUUGCUGGGUGACUGCAUUGCAUAAAAUGGCUGACAUGAACCAUCAACUAUUUGGUCAGCUGACUGGUACCCAAUAAACUUGGUCAGAUGCAACCAUCACCAUAGUAACAGAUCACAAGAAAAAUGUCUGGAAGAAUUCUAUGAAAAAUUCAAUAGCUACUUUUGCCACAAAGAUGAAACAGCAUUCAUUUUUAAUUUCUUGCAUAAUCAAAGCAAAAUUGAGUGGAGUAGAAGUUAUUCUAUAAAAGGCUAAUUUUUUUUUAAAGAAACAAUAAAAAAAAGAUAUUUUUUUAAUGGAAGUUUGUUAUCUGGUUUUGUGAGAAAAUGGUGUUUUGUUGACAAAGAAAAUCAAUCAAUAGAUUCUGGCAUUAUUGAGAAAUCUUCCGUUUUCUUUAUUUAUAUGCCGCCAAUACUUGAACAUAAACAAGACCGUCUUUAUUUAAAGCUAGAAAGAAUUGGCAAUGGCAAUCUGUUCUCAAUGAUUCUGUCAGAUGUCCACAUCCUGCUCCAAGGGGAUUCCUGGAUAUUCAGAUAUUCACAACAGUCGGAAAUAUUAUGGAACAACCGUGUACAUGAAAAGUGGUGAUAGGCUUUAGUAAAAAAUAACCUUCUGACUUCUAUGUAAAGGCAAUGGAUAUCUUGAUAAGAAGAUAAAAGAAGUGUUGAAAGGAAUGUGCUGUAGUAUUGAAAAACAAUAUCUGUAUUGAAUGCCUUUAAAGAGUGUGUAUAACAUACACACACACUCACAUGCAUCUAUCUAUCUUAUCAUCCUUUUAAUCAGGGCUGUAGAGUCGAAACAAAAAACUUUGACUCCUCUACUAUUGGCACCUCCGACUCUGACUCCUCUACAUGUAAUUAAGUGAUUGUGGUCUACAUAUCUCAUAAAUCAUAUGCAUAUGCUUGUACUUUGCGUAGGCUGAUAUGUUGUAACUGGUUUAUAUUAAGGAAUAAAGAUAUUGUGAGUUGGAAUCAGAGUCAGUAUAGUUUUACCGACUCCGACUACCCCUUAAUUGUUUCCGACUCCGACGAUGGCGCCACAGCCCUGCUUUUAAUGCUCACUUUUCCACACCUGCAAGGGUCAGAUGUUGAGGCAGAUUUUCUACAGUUAGCUGCUGGCUACCUUUCCUGUUACCAACUCUCAUCCAGUUUCCAAGCAAAGCAAUAUUUUCUCAUAUCUAGGCAUAUGGAAACAAACAGCAUUGCUUCUAUAAUGAUAAUGAUGCUCAUUUACAGCAUCACGUUAUGUCUAGACGAGGGUGUAAAUACACACACACACACACACACACACACACAACACACACAACGGGCUUCUUUCAGUUUCCAUCUACCAAAUCCACUCACAAGGCUUUGGUCAGCCUAGGGCUGUAGCAGAAGACACUUAUCCAUGGUGCUUCACACAGUGGAAUUGAACCCCAGAUCACAUGGUUGGGAAGCAAGCUUUUUAUCCACAGAGCAACACUUAUGCCUACAUAUAUAUUCUAUUUCUAAUAGAAAACUUUAUAAACUUUUAAUUUCAUGUAUUGAGUACUUUUCCUUGUGUUUGUAAAUUCAGCUGAACUAAAGAUAAGGUUUCAAUGUAUUGAAUAACAUCAUUCUGCUUGUUUUUUUAAAAAUAGAAAGUCAGUAAAACCUAUACAGAAAUAUUAGGUGUCUUAAGUCUGAUAAGGCUUGUGCAGCACCUCAUACGCUUUCUCUGCUGUAUUCGCAUGUUGUGUAGACAAGGCAAAGCAACAAAUCUAGUAUAAGGUCACUGAGUGACUUGUGUGGGUGUCAUCAUGAACUUCAGGUGAAACUGAAGAUUUCCAAAUUAUCAAGACUACCCACUACUCAAUGGACUUUUACAUCAGAGUAAUUUUCUUCUUGAGAAGGGCUUUAAUGGAAACUAAUGAGGGCUGACCCCCGGUGGUCUUAUAAGCAUGAUAGACUGCAACUUGGAAUUUCUAAAUCCCUGUACUGGCAUUAGAUUGUCGUUGACCGUAUCUGGAUUCAUCCUGUCUUUUUCACUGGUCUUGUUUAUUACUCUGUUAGGUUCCUAACAUCACCCCUCACCAGGCUUCCCUGAUGGGAGUGAUGCUUUAAUUGCCUAUGACUGAGCCAUAUCACAGCUUGCACUGGAUUAUAUGUUAACAGUAGCUCACAUAUAUGUACCUUUAUAUAUAUAUAUAUAUAUAUAUAUAUAUAUAUAUAUAUAUAGAUAGAUAUAUACACUGAAGCAACUUUUGUGUUUUCAUUCUCUAUGUCCAUGCUGUGGCUAUUGUUCGCAUAAAAAUAUACUAAAAAUGUUACUUCUACAAUAUGAACAGGAUAAAUCAAUCCAUGCAUGUUACAUUUCACUUUCAGUGUGGGCGCAUGUGUGUAUGUGUGAGAGGGGAAAAGUGUGAACUUUGUUAGUUUGGGCCAUUGUUGGUGCAUGGAGGUUCAUAUAUAGGUCAAGUUUAUUUAGUAAUGUUCAGCCCACUCUAUGCAUUUUUAUAAUAGGUUUUCUAGUAGGUUAACAGUUGAUCUUGUAGUGCACACCUGGUGUCCUACUUCCACCUAUAAGACCACAUAUAUUAAUAUAAGCUGCAAGUUAAAUCCUGCUUUUAACAGUAUAUGAUAUUCUCCAUUUCUAUAAGCUGUAUUUUCCAGUAUACAAGUCAAACUUUUCAGACCAAAAUUUGCAACCACAAAUGGUAAGUUGACUUUAUACAAGUCACUGGAGGACCAAAAAAACGCCAUGUGAAAUGCAGCAGGAUUUUUGGAAAGAUAGAAAAAUAUCGUAUCUUUUUAUCUAAAAGUCUGAGAGGAGUUUCUAUUAAGAUUAUAAUUUUAUGAUCUGUUAAUCUCAUCUUUAGAAAUGAAAUAUAUUUUUAAUAUUUACAUCAACUGCAUUAUUUUUUGGAUUGGUUUGAUCUAUGAUUAUCACCAUUUUUCUUAUUCCUGGACACAUAUAUGAUAUUGAACCAUGAACGGAGACAUGUAGAUUUGUGCUACCUCCAAGAAGUAAGGUGGAGAGGAGGUUCUGCUAGGUUCCUCACAAGCAAUGAACACAAGUACAAGAUUUUCUGGGCUGGGAACACUGACAGGGUCGGGGGCGUGGAUAUACUUCUUGUGGACAAAUGGGUUAAGGUAAUUGAAGUAGUCAGAGUAUGCGAUAGAAUACUUAAGGUUAGAUUAGUGUUACAUCAUGGGUUAGCAACCAUUAUCUCGACCUAUGCCUCUCAGCCGGGGCUACCUGAUGGACAGAAAGACCAAUUUUAUGACACCCUCUUGCAGACUACCUUGUUGACAAAUGACAGGGACCUUCUCUUUGUGGCUGGUGACUUCAGUGGACAUGUUGAACAACAUGCAGGGGUCUUCCAUGGCGUACAUGGAGGCUAUGGUUUUGGUUUCCUGCAAUGAGGAGAACCUUUAUUUCUAAACUUAGACUAGUAGAAAUAGUGUUUUUAUCAAAAUAUAGUCUGGUGGCAUAUACAUAUCUUGGAAUAAGCUGUGCUUAUGGCGAUUAAAGGCUGGAAUAAUCAAAACAGUGGAGAUGUAAAAAGAUUACUAAACUGUUACCUCAUUAAGGGCGAGCUUUGUUUCACCCCACCCCAAAUUAGAAUGGUACUCUAUUCUAAUUAUGUCACCCUAACUUGUUCUGGAUCAAGAAAUAUUUCAAAAAUAUAAUUGGUGUAUUUGAUUGCACAGUGGAUGGGACUAGUUAACUUGACUUAACUGUUUGCAAGAAAGAAUGGCUGUUAAACUGGUGUUGUCACAUUCACCACCACCAUCAUCAUCAUUGUCAUCAUUGAAGGAGUGUAGUAUCAGUCAAUAGAAAUUCUUGCCAUUGUUCUUAGAAUGAUAGAAAGUUAGUUUUUGCCAUUAGUUAGGUGUUGAGUUGUGACUGUGUCUUUAGCUUUCAAUUCUGAUAACAAUUCCUCCCAGGGUAAGUUUAGGCACACCUCAACUUAUGUCAUUUCAAGAUUCAUCUUUUGUGACCUUAUGUCAUUUUUCUUUCAAGAAAUUAAUGCUGAUAUAAGCCUCAACUUCAGUCGAUUUAUUUAACUUUAUGUUGGUCUAAGCAAACAUAUCUAAAAGCAUAAAAACUAGAAAAAAACCCCCCACUUAAAAGCCAAUACUGAAAUAGAAAUCAAAUAAAGUGCAUAUGAAAAUAUGUACAAACCAUUAUUAAGAUAUAAGCUAAUACAUUUUUCCAAAUGAUUUUUCGGGUCAUGUCAUUUUUCAAGUUAAGCCACAUAUUUUGGAACUAGUAACCAAUGUAAGUUGAGAUACGUCUGUAUAUGCUCUGAUCAAAGUUAUCUUUUUUCACAUUACAUUAAGUAAUAGCGUCGGGUAAUAUAUCUAGAAUGGUCACUCCUGGAACACUUUCUGUCAUAUGUCUGAUUAAUCAGAAUUGACCUCCUGAGGUUAACUAACAAUGUAACAGCUGUUUAAAAAUUUAGUUGUUGAGUGUUUCUUUUUCAAAAUAUUUCUUCUUGUCAUGGCAUUCAUUUGACUGAGAUAGUUCAUAUCUCUUGUUUGCAGUGUCUUUUUUAUAGUCUGACAGAAAUAAACUUGGUUCUUAUGUUAUAAGCCCCAAACAGCAGUUCAUGGAGUUUAACCUUUCUGAUACUGACCUGCCCAAGACAGCCCCUGGUUUGAAAACCUUCUAUCAGAGUUUUGUUUUAAUUUAUUUUCCAAAAAACCACCAUAGUAACGAGAAAAACUUUUUUGAGUUUCCCUCAUGAUCACCAGAUUGUGUGUUCAAAUCCUGGUUCAGGCAGCAUGUUGUGUUCUUGAGCAGAACACUUCCUUUCAUGCUGCUUUAGAGCUGUGAGGGGACUGGCAUGCCAAAGAAUAGACCUGAUGUUUCCUCUGUGUGAUGUAAAAGAUGACUAAAAGAGGUUGAGGUAGGAUUUGUACUUUGACCUUGUAAAACCCUCACCAGCAAUGACUAACCAAACAAACCCAUGAGUUGGAGGGUGUCUUCCACUAGAAGUAAGGAAUCACUUAUAACUGGUGGAUGCAGCGACAUAGUGUUACAGCACAUGCCUCCCAUACUACUACUACUACUUAAUUUAGACACAAGAUCAGCAGUUUCGAGAUAGGUUAGUCAAUUAAUUCAAUCCCAGUACUUCACUGGUACUUUACCUUAUUGACUUCUGAAGGAUGAAAAGCAAAGUCAACUUUGGUAGGAUUUGAACUCAGAACCUUUUACUACAGGACAUUUUCUCUGACACUUUAGCGAUAAAAAGCCCCCACUAUACUUUCAGAGUGGUUGGCAUUAGGAAGGGCAUCCAGCUGUAGAAACAUUGCUAGAUCAGACUGGAGUCUGGUGCAGCCUCCUGGCUUCCCAGACCCCAGUCGAACCGUCUAACCCAUGCCAGCAUGGAAAACGGACGUUAAACGAUGAUGAUGAUAAUGAUGAUGACUGCCAGUCCAUGUCAAUAUUACUGUUACAAUUGAUUUUUUUUUACUAUGAUGGUGAUGAUAAUAAUGAUCAUAACUUUAUAAGUCAUCAUCACUGAAGCAGAGUUUUUUUUGGAAUGCUAUAGUUGAACAUCCAUAAUGCUAUAUAGAACAUCUAGUCAUAAUGUAGACGGCCUAAGGAUGUAUAUAGCAAAAUGAAGCUUCUAUGAGGUGGUAUCAAAAAAAAGUUUCUGGACUAGUUCUGUAGUGCACCAACAGAUGGCAGCACACAGUUGCAUGUGCAGUGAGAGCUAGCAGUGACCUUCAUGAGGCAGUGUGCUGAGUGACGUCACUGUGGCAAUGGGUCGUAUACAAUGUUUUGAGUCACUAUGGUGCAUUUCAGGCCACUAAGAUCUUAGCAUUGCAGCAUUCCUCUUCCUCCUCCUCCUCCUCCUCCUCCUCCUCCUCCACCACCACCAUUAGCAACACUUUGUGUCCUGUCAAUAGAAACCAAUGUUUGGACUUGUAAACUCUGUUCACAUCAAAUAUUGUCACAAUUUUUUUUCUUUAUAUUUUUCUUUUUUUAGUUAUAUUUUUCUUUUCUUUACAAUUGGGAAUCUUGUACAAGAAUUUAGUCACGUCUAACCAGUAAGUUGGCAAUCAUAUUGGUGAGAAAAGAAGUAUGCGUCUCUCUCCCCCCUCUCUCUCUUUCUCUCUCUCUCUCUCUCUCUCUCCAUUUCAUUUGCUGCACAAAAGAAGACAAAUACAAAAACAAAAGAUGGAGUUCAUUUGCUUGAAAUAUUUGAUGUUCAGUAUUCAUUAAAACUAAUUUCCUCCUUCUUGCAAGAAGGACAUGUACUCUUGUUGAUUUUAAUUCAUUAAUUAGUUUCACUUGAUUAAAAUACACAUGGUUGUCACUCUUGACUGAAAUUGAACUCAAGACUGUGUUGUUUGAUGCUUAAGGCAUUCUAGCCAUGAUCAUCACAUAAUUUUUUAGGAGUUUCCAGGGUUACAUUAUCUAAUGUGCCUUUCCUUUAUAGGACAAUAGUAUGUUAUUCUAGGGAGAUUUGGCUACUAUUUCUAGUGUAGCAGCUUGGGCAACCAUACAAAAGCUCUGUAAUACCUGGUGAUUAGGGAUUGGUUGAGAUGAUUGACCUUUCUCGCUUACAAUAUCCUCAUAAUGUACCAUUAAGAAAUAUCAAAAAUUAAAACCUGAUUUGUCACUGUACAAUGUCUAAAGUUUGGUUGGAUAAAGGAAGGACAGGAAAGUGAAUUAACCGAUAUUGGUUCUAGGCAUGAAUCAGAAGUCAAUGUAAUGACUAAUUCUUCAGUGAUGUAAUGCUACAGUUCCUUCUUACCAUAUAAUAAUUACUUUCAAUUAUGGCACAGAGCCAUCAGUUUUGAGUGAAGGAGGUAAGUUGAUACCUUUGACUUCAGUACAUGACUGGAACUUUACUAUAUUCACCUGUAUAAUUAUAUAUAUAUAUAUAUAUAUAUAUAUAUAUAUAUUCAUGUAUAUUUUUAUUCAGAUGUAAAUAGAUUAUUUUGUGAAGAGAAAAAAGAAAAUGAAAAUAUUUUACUUAACAGCUGAGAAACGAAUCCUGUAUAUGCUAACUCAUUUUGUAAAGAGUGCUUUUUAGAAUAUUGAAAAACGUGUUUCAGAUUUAUAUAUUUUUUUCCUGUAUUUAUUAAAGCUAUUUACCUCACUUGAUAAUUGAUUUUAGGAGGGAGGUGUGAGUGUAUCUGUGAGUGAGUGAAGGAGAGAGAGAGAGAGAGAGAGAGGAGAAAAGGUUUUGGUGAUCUGCUACUGUUCUUUUUUACAAUGAUUACUCAAAUGUUUGAAGUGUUAAAGUGCUUUGUUACAACUAGAGCUGAGACCUAACCCAACUCUGUACAGCAGGAGAUAAAUCAACAUUAUUGAUGCAGCAAUCUUAGAAAAAAAAAAAAAAAAAAGAAUCCAAAUGGGUGCAGGCAUGGCUGUGUGGUAGGAAGUUUGCUUUCCAACUGCAUGGUUCUGGGACCUGUCCCACUGCAUAGUACCUUGGAUAAAAUGUCUUUUAAUAUAGCCCUCAGCCAAUCAAAGCUUGUGAGUGGAUUUGGUAGCUGGAAACUAUAAGAGGCUUGUUGUAUAUGUAUAUAAAUAUAUUCAAACAAAUAAGGGAUGGCCAUAAUAGGACAUCUGACUCACUAGAAAGAGCAGCCAAACUCCAAACCACUAAUAGUUGUAAUUCUGAAAUGGAAAGAGAAAUAAAAACGUUUGCUUUUAUUUCUCUUUCCAUUUCAGAAUUACAACUAUUAGUGGUUUGGAGUUUGGCUGCUCUUUCUAGUGAGUCAGAUAUCCUAUUACGGCCAUCCCUUAUAUGUUUGAAUGUAUAUUACAUAGUCUAUUGACUAUUAGUGGAGAAUUUUUCUAGAAUUUUUUGCUACCCUAAAAUUUAUUAAUUAAUGUAUAUAAAUAUAUAUAUCUAUGUGUCUGUAUUUCUCCCCCACCAUGCACAAGCACACACACACGAUAGUAACAAGAAACUUAGAGUAGCAACAGAAUAAAGCCUCAGCUUCAAAUAAUUGCAUAUACUACAUAUUUUUCUCUAAUUUCUACACGUCUGCACAUACAUGUACACACACACACACACAUAAUAUAUGCGAAAGAAAAAGCAAACACUAUGAAACUGGAUAUUGUUAUGUGAUCAAGUCAAAAAUGCGUGUGUCAAGAAAUUACUGUAAGUAGUAGUAGUAGUAGUAGCUGUUCCCUAUUUUAUAUAUAUAUAUAUAUAUUACAAACAUCCCAAACAGCCGCCUACUUAACUACAAGAUAUGAGCUUGGUGCCCCUUAACAGAUUGGAAAUAUUUUGGGGUGCAUGCACCCUUGACUGCACCAAUGACUGUUAAAAUAAAUACAUGGAUAGGUAGGUUGAUAUUUGUUAAUUAGGUGGGUGGCAGUUGAUAUCUAGUAAUUAGAUAAAUAAAAUAGCAGUGGAAACAUAACCUGGUGAACUGGGCAUGUGUUUGGCUAUAUAUGUACAUGUGUGUGUGUGUGUGUGUGUGUGUGUGUGUGUGUGACUAUGCAUGUUUGAGUGUCUUUAGCAGAGUUCUCUCAGUUUGCAAGCAUUUGUGCUAGGUUUCUGGUCUGAAGAUAACUGCCUAUGUUUCGGCCUAGUCUCUGGUUUGAAGAUAAGUUCCCACCAGUCGCGGUGUGGGUGGAAUGGAUGAAUAGGGGUGCUGAGCUGGGUUGAAAAAAGAUUAUGAGCGUUUCUCUUCUAUGUCUGUCAAAGUCAAUAAAAAAGAAAAUACUGUUUGUACUUCUCAAUGUGUGCUUUGUGCAUGCAUGCAUGUAUGUGUGUGUGUGUGUGUUUGCAGAUAGGCGUUUACUCGUGUGUAUUUGCUUGGAUGUGUGUGUGUGUGUGUGUGUGUGUGUUUGCGUAUGUAUGUACGUGUGUGUGUCCCUUUACUUUUCGAAGUAAAAGAGAUGAUCUGACUGUAACUGUAUCUAAAGAACUAUUUCAUAUGAGUAAUAAUAGAGUAUUUACAUAUAAAGCUGGUUGGAUCAUGUUAUAGCUUUAACAAUAGAUGAAGUAAUAAUAUAGAUCAAGCUGGCACUGUAUUUGUUAUAUGGAAACUCUAUAACAGUAAUAAAUACAUCAACAAAGAACCAGAUCUAUAAAUUAUGCUAUGGUGGCUGUGUGUUGUACCUUUUAUUCAUGUUCUUAGUGUAUUUUAUUGAUUCUGUAUGGUCAGGAAGUGUGGCUUAAUGAAAAUACAGGUAAUAACUUAGUUUUUAUAGUACCAGUAAGAACUACCAACUUUACUGGAGCCAAAUGAGAGCUUCUACUGAGUCUAUGAUGGGUUAGCUGUUGCCAAGCCAGUGAGGAGGGCGUCUCUACUGAGCUGAUGAGUAUGAAGGGAAACUUUUGCUGAGCUGCCGAGUGGUAGUGUGAAUCUCUGCAACAAGUAGGGGUGGGGUCUUAUGAUUUAAGGGAGCCUCUGCCGAGCUGACAAGUGCAGGGAGCUCUCUUGUUGAACUAACAAGUAGAGGAACUUCUACCAAGCCAAAUGGGUGGAGGUGGGAUGGGUGUUACCUGUACUGAGCCAAUGAGUGGAGGGGGUCAAUUAGGGGGAAACCCUCUGCCACAUCAGUGACUGCGGGGACCUCUCCAUGUUUGCUAGAAGAAAAAAAGCAGUCAAAUCUCCCUCAAAUUGCACUCGAUUAUCUUAAUAGAAAGGAUUCAUUGGAUGAUGUUCUUCUAAUUAAAUAAUAUUUGGUAAAAAGAUGAAAAGGUCAAGGCUGGUAUAUUUCUUCAUUUUUCACUUGUUUGAUUGGGGAUUGAGCUAGGCUUCUCUGUUCAAUAUUUUGCUUUAAAAAAAAGUUUACUUCUUCUCCAAAUGCUUCUGCAUUGCUGAAAGACAUUCUCAUUCAGAACAGUAUUUAGUUUCAUGGUACUUAGAGGCUUUAAAGAUCCUCUAGUGUGUUACACAUGUCACACCUCUUUCACUUUUUCUUUUCCCUUUCAAAGCUGUUAAUAUUAAGGCUGAGAAUGAAAUGAACUUUUCAAUUACAGUUAUUGCAAUAAAUAUUUCAAUAAAUGUAAUAAGGCCUUAAAUUAUGAGGGCAGGAGUGUAGUUUAUUGAAUCAACUUCAAACAAUGAACACACACACAUACACACACACUUGGUGCCUGGUUUCUAUCCUCACCUGAUCCUUAGGUGUCUUUAUCAGAGUUUAAUUCAGUUGCAAGCACUCUAACCAAAUUCUGCUCCUCUGCUUUCUUUUCCACUCACAUUUGUUUACUCUGGCAUUGAUUUUUGGAUGUUCAGAUUCAGUAUCGGGAAUAUCAAUCUCACCAGCCUGUGAAGCCUGCUCAGGUUUAUGACUUCUACCUACGUCUUUUCUCUCGACUCAUUUAUAAAAGCAAAAAUGUAUUUUAUCAACAUCUAAAACAGUUUCCUAAUCCCUUUUAUGAUUCCAGAUUCCCACAAGGUUUCCCAGUAUAUCGCAUUAGUCCUUUCACCAAACUUGUCUAAAUCAUUGUUAUCAGUUUGAUUCAGUGCCAGGAUAACUUCGAAAGAGGUGUGACAUAUGUAACACUCCAGUGGAUCUUUAAAUUCUAUAAGUAUCAUGAAACUAAAUGUAUGUAUGUAUGUGUGUAGUUUUAAAAAUUGACAACAAACAGAAAAUUUUACAAAGCAUAACAAACAGAAAAUUCGUAUCUAAUUCCUCUUCAGUCAACGCCUAAAAGAUCAUUAUAAUUUCACAUUUAUAUAUAAAUAAAAUACUGAUGAAAAGGUGUUAAUACGUUAACUAAUAAUGUGAAGGUAACUAUAUAUACAUUUAUAUACCUGAAGCAGUUUGUGCAUGUGUGUGUUGGUUUGAUGCAGGUUUUAAUCUAUUAUUGCUUACUUUUAGUGUUCCUGCUUCAACUAAGUCAAAACUUCAAAUAACAGAUCGAAAUCUCAGCUUCAAAUUACAUAACACACACACAUAUGCACGCGCGCGCCUUUCCAUAUAUUUACUCAGUCGGGGCUGACUUGAGUUUAAGCAACAUAUAAACAUCCAUAUAUAAUAUACGUGAAUAUUGAUUUCUAAACACUGGCAAAAAGGCCAGAGCACCGAAUGUUAGAUCGAUCUCGCUACUUUUAGUGGUACUUAACUUAUUGAUUCGUUGAAGGAAGAAAAGAAAAUUCGAUCCUGGCAGGAUUUGAAAUGAGAUCGUAAAACAACGAAACUAAAAACCACGAGACACUUUGUUUGCUGGUCGCCCACGCAAUUUUGCCAGCCACUGCUCCAGUAUACCUUCACAACAACAGUACUGUUAGAUAUAUUUUUUACUAACUUUCUCGGUUGGUGUGGAGAUUUUGGGAAAACUACACAAAAUAUCAAAUUAUGCGAUGUAUCGUAGAGGACAACUUCAAAAUUCUCGAAUUCAUAAGUCACGGAAAACCCAAACUUUUUAUCUUUUAUGUUUCAUGCGGCCAUGCUAGAUCACUGCCUAGAAGUGUUUUAACUGAACAGAUCGACAUUAGUACUUUUAUUUUAAACCCGUUGGUCUCUUUUGCCAAACCGCCAGGUUACAGGGGCAUAAGCAAACCAACGUCAGUUUUAAAGCAGUGGUGGACACACGCAGUUUGCUCUGAACGUUUUUGACAAAAUUUCGUAUUUUAGAAGUUAUUUCGUGUUAAAGAUGUCGUAUUUGGGUAAUUUCAACCAAUCAACGAUGUGUAUUCGGUUGAAGAAAGCUACUGCUGUUUGCGAUAGUAAUCGAAGAAGAACAGCUUCCGGGUCAUCUCUCCUAAAUGUCACCAUUCUGUUCUAUUUGUAUAGCAAGCGAACCACCUUUAUCCUUUCUUCCUUUCUAGUCAACAUUCUUUACUCUUUCCCUCCCUUCUACACUAUCAACUAGCAACCAGCGAGCGAACUUGUCACUGUCACAAGCAGCUAUUUGUUUUGUUUUACUAAUGUUACUUUUUUUAAUCUAAUAAAGAAUUUUAUAUUGACGAAAUGUGUUUGUGGUUGAUUAUAGUAAGAUAAAAUCAUGACAAUAACGAUACAUCUCAUAGUUGUAAAAUAAGGCAUUUUGAAACUACAUAUACGUCAACAACAAAAAAGUGAGCUGCGGACUCGUUGCUCUCUAUGGUGUUGAUUCUUCGAACAGAAUGGUGACAUUUAGUAGAGAUGACCCAGAAGUUGUCCCUCUUCGAUUUCUAUCGCAAACAGCAGUAGCUUUCUUCAACCGAAUACACGUCGUUGAUUGGUUGAAAUUACCCAAACACAACAACUUUAAUACGAAAUUUUGUCAAAAACGUUCAAAGUAAAUCAUGUUCUACAUGAAAAAUUCUACCAGUAUUCGAAGUUUCAAACUGUUUAGUUAAAAGAAAAUGAAUUAAAAAAUCUGUGAUUGGGAUAGAAUAGAUCCAUACGGAGCACACACACAACGGACUUUAAUACAGUUUCCAUUUACCAAAUUCACUCAUGAGACAUUGGUCGGCCUGGGACUAAAGUAGAAAAUACUUGCCCAGAACUGAACUCGAAACCACGUGGAUGAAAAGUAUGCUUCUUAACCAUACAGCCAUGCCUGCACCUAACCUUGCUGGGGUUUUCUCCCCCGCUACCCCAUUUUUGUUGCUGGGUGUAAUUGGGAGGUGAAAAUUGAAACGGGUCAGAACUGAACGCUUUUCGUACAUUUAGUGUUAAUGAGACAAAUGGAGCUGAAUGAAUUGUUAGGAAAAGAUGCCAAGAAAGCUUCAAUAAAUGACUGAUUUAAAAAAAAAGAAUUCAUUGUUUUAAGAUAUUGUAUAAGAAAACAUUGUUGUUUCACAUACGUGUAAACGCUGUUUAUAUAACAUAUGGUGUUAUUGAAUACUACAAUCUGGCCAUAUAGUAUCAGUUAAAGCUACUUAAAAUAUUUGUUUAUUUAAAUGAAAAUUGACUUUUUCACCUCAAGCCAAAAUUGUGAUAUUUCUUUCAUUGUUAUUGGUUAGCUUCCAAGUAAGUCUUGCUAAAAUGAUCUGGGACUAAAACUACCCUAGGGCCCAGGGCAAUCAUGAGGUAACCCUGCAGCUUGUGUAACUUUCCGAAAGGCACGCCUGACAAAAAUGAAAAACCAUGAUCCAUGCGGGCCGCUUCUCGAAAAAGGUUACCCAUGUCUGACCUAGGACUAUUUUACCCAAUGUGUUUUUCCUUUUCAAGUCCGUUAUACUGCAGCCAUUUGAGAGAGAUUUUACUGUUAUUUCUAGUGGUUUGAUUGUCACGUAUAGUCUCCUUCAAUGACUCGUUAGAUACCAGUAAAUUUGCAGGAGAACAUUUGUAGAAAAUAAUACUUAAACGAAAUUAAUCUUCAGUCUGUAAAAUUCAUGUUGUGAUUUGAAAUCAGUGUUGACUUCGCCUGUUAUUUUCCCUGGAUCGAUACUGUAAGUAGCAUUAAUAUAAUUGAGUUAUACUUCUCUCUUACUGAGAUAAAAUUUGAAAAAUGUACUCUCCGUAUUGUGUCGUAACACUUAGUAAAUACAGUUUACAAGCCAUGAGGAAACCUCCAUGUGGUCCAUCGACCUACUAGAAAUAACGACUAAAUCUCCUUCCAUCUUAAAACAAGACCUUUUAGCUAAUGUAGUCUGGGUUACAUUAUUUCUGAAAACAAGACUGGAUAAUAAUGGUUUGAAUAUCUUUUCGUUAUGGGUUUUUCAAUCAAUACUAAAUGUGGACUAAAUAACUUUAUUUUUAGUAAGAGGUGGUGAAUUGGCAAUAUCUUAAGGGUUUGGAUUGAAUGCCUUGCAGCUAUUAUUCUAUUUCUAUUCUCUGAGUUCAAAUACCGCUGAGGUUAACUUUGUUUUUACACUUUUGGGAUCGAUUAAAAAGCAAAAAAAGAUACCAGUGCAGGACAGUGGACGGACGGAAUUGUUAUAACGUUGAGUGGGAUGCCUUGUGGUGUCUUUUAAUUAUCUGCAUUCUAAAGGCAACAACGCCUGCGAUGCAUCUUGGUGCCAACAUGUAUCAAGCUUGUUUCUCUCUUCAAUACCGUCGAUGGCGAGGACAGGAGAGAUCUCCUCUGACCUCCUCCAGUAAAUCUUGCCUCGGCCUGCUAGUGGCGUAGCGGUGGAUUUUAGCCCCUCUUCUCUUCAAACGAAACAUACUAUUGACUAUAGCAAACACACAUUUAAAGUGGCCGCCCCCCCAUCCUGUUCGCACAUCCCAUUCAACUCUACUGAGAUCUGUCUGGUAGAGAGUAACUUUCCAAGUGUAGUUACAUGGUCAACCCCGACCGACAAAGACCUUAAGACACAUCAGUAAACUUUGCACGCAAAGUUUUUUUUUGUAUGGUUGAAACAACAGAAUGUACUGUUACUAAAUUUCUCUCUCCUUUUCCAUGUUAUUACAUAGAAAAGCAAACAAAUAAUAUGUCGAGAGAGUAAAUAAAUCGCUUAUCCAAAAAGAACUAGGGAGAGGGAGUUGGGUUGGUCCAGGAGUGUAGAACUAUCUGCUUCUGAAUAUAACUAAUCUGGGUUCUUAGCAAUUUUCGAGAGAAAAGAAAACCCAACCUUUUAUUUCCAACAGAGAUGAUAUCUAUAUAUAUAACACAUAUGAGCCAAAGCCACAUUAAAAUUCAAAUCCCAAACCGAAGAAAGCAAACAUAAGCGAAGAAAGAAAAAAAAGGAAGAAAAAAGCAUCAACACCGAGUGCAUGUGGGAGGGUGCAAAGGGGUCAUAGACUGUGGCAACCCAGAUGAGGCACCUACUUCUUAACCAGGGACAAAAGGUAAGAUCUUCUGGUUCCGUCACUUCUGGAUAAUCCCACCGGCUCCAGAUCUGAGGAGAUACUAACUCGAGCCAGGGUCCGUCUAAUGAUUACGUUUAGCGCGGUGUGACGAGCGAAACGACCACAGGCAAAGACACCAAUCUGGUUCCCUGAGAAUUUUGCACCUGCAGAAAGUAAACGACACCUUGAAAAUUGAUCAGAUUGAUCAAAGAGAGAGUUGAAAGUAGCAACUGAGCCCAGAUUCUCAUUCUCUCUGCUUUUGUCUAUCCUCAGCUGUAUCAGGAACUGACAAACCCAGUUCACUCCACUGUUGCAGAGCUUCAUCCAUGUCCCUGUUGGAACUAGUCCAUUUUGGAAAGGAGAGGAUGUUGCUUACCGAAUAGGAGCAAGCGUGGAUGGAGGUAAGGAAACCCGGAAGAGAAUAGAGACGAGCACUUAACGUAAACCUAGAAAAUGUAUGUCGACAUACAAUCGAUGCUUUCAGAAAUCUUUUGGUGAUACUCUUAAACAAUCCCUAUCUUUUAAGUGCUCUUCUUUAAUCGUUUAAUAUAAACACUAAGUGCUGUUGUCAGUCAAGAUAAAUAUUGUUAUUAAUAACAUUUAAAUUAAGUUAGUCACUUCGGUUGUUUCAGACUAACUGGUCUGGCUUUACGGUUCGAUUACUAAUCGAUAAAAAUUACCCACCCCCCAAACACUUUGUAGUUGUUGAAAAAAAACAAAAGAAUUAUUUUCUUGAAAUGUCGGAUUUGUUCGUAAACAAGUUAGAAAUAACUUUUUUUUUUAUUUACAUUUUCAGUACACACUUUUAACAUCCAUCUUUAUUUAUUUUACAAAAGGCGUAGAAAUUUCUCUUAUUUUGUCAUUGCAAGUAGAUCUUCAUGACAUGUGGCGUGGGUAAGACAGCUCAUGGGACAAAACAAAUAAUUGCUGGGUGGGUGGGGGCGCUAAUUUAUUUAUACUAUUUUAUAUUUCUUUUGAAUUUUUUUAAAACCUGGUUAACAACCCUGUGGCCCCCGCCUAUGCCACACCACUAUAUCCUGUAACUUACAGUUUUGGGAUUAGGUUUUUUUUCAUUUACGGAGACGUUAGAACCUCCCCUUUUAGAACAUAUAGAAAAGAGGUAAGAUAUGAAAUGAGUAAAUAUUCAAAAUAUUGUAAUACUGAAUCGGAUACUUUGAAUUAACUGUCCGAGAUAGAAUUCUUCUGAAAAAUGAUAAAAUAAUUGAUUUUGCGGUGCUAAGCAAACUUUCCUUCCAAACAUGGUAAAAAUUACAAUUUAAAGUCGUAAUUUAUUUUUCCAUUGGUCCAUUUCCACCUUAUUAUCUGUUGCUUCUCUGUAUCUCCUUUAUUAUUUAUCUUUGGCAGCAGUAUUUUCUCUCGUCUACUGCGAUUCGUCUUUUAUACAUGCUGACAUUAACAUAAUGUUAACAUCUUUCGAUUCCACUACCAUUUAUUAUUUCCGUUCUUGGUAAUUCCACAAAACAUGGAAUUCAAAACGGCAAAUUCAAUUAUAUGGGUGUUUCAUUUUAAGGAUUUACACUGAAAUGUAAUACACUACAUACAUACAUUCUUAGAUACACCCACACGCAGCAGGGAAAACAGACUUUAAAUAUGUGUGUAUGUGUUUAAGACAAUUAAAAAAAAAUUGCAUUAACAUAUAUUCGCUAAUGUGAUUUAAAAAAAAAAAUCCCAUUUGUUUAAAGGUUGUAGUUGUAAAAGAAAAAUUUUUUUCUAUGUAGCACAAGUAUUACAUAGGAAAUUUUAUUUUCAUUUUUCUUUCUCUUUUCAUUGACCCAGUUAAAUGAAAAUCCAACUUGUGCUUUUUUGUCAAUACUUCUAUUGUUUGUAUCGUCUGCAUUUUUUUUUUGUCACCGAUAGAUUAGUUUUCUAAUAUAACUACAUGAAAGAAAUAUCUUAGGACAUUUUUAUAGUUUUAACAAACUAUAAGAGAAGUUUCUUUAAAAAAAUUUAGCUCAAGAUUUUCUUCUUUACUGGGAAACAUUUAGACUCCAGUGACAUUUAAAAAUUUGCUGUAUUAUGGUAAAUGUAGGUUUUAGAAUAAACUUGUGUGUAAAGUAUAUUGGCGGAGGUAAGGAAUAUGCAUACCACCCGUCUUCGGCGUAACCCUAAACCUAAACACCGAGUUUAUGCAGGAGGUUAUCUUAAUUGGUGAGCAUCGUUGCAUUAUUCAACCAUUUCUGAUUUUCACCACCUAUUUUAUUUUUAUUAAAAGCAGUAUUCCUUUUUUUUUUUUUUCGAAUGAACUCCCCCAUUCAUCAUACCUCCACAUACAAUCUCUGUUUUAUCUUAAUUCUGUCAUCUUUUGAAAGCUGCACUUCUGCUGAUGUCAUGUCAAAUUGUUAACCUACAAAAAUUCAAGCUAAAUAUUGAUUUCUAACAUAGGCACAUGAUCACAAGGUUUGGGGGAGUAUAAUUGAUUGGUUCGUUAUUCCUUCGACCCUGCAAAGAUGAAAAGCAAAGUCGUCUUCGGCGGAAAUUGAACUCAGAACAUAUAGAGAUGUAAUUAAGUUGAUUUGAAAAGGCAUUUUGUUAGUCGCUCUCCCGAUUUUACCAAUCCGAGCCAAGUACAAUCAUUCUAACCACCCACAACCACCUUUCUUCAUCACAUGAUCACAGGGUCCCUCUUCCUCCCCGCUCCGAAGACUAUGAUACUUCUUUGUUCUAUUAUUGAGACACUUGUCACUGCUUGCUUUAAUAGUCUUAGCUGGAGAACAGUUAAUGAGCAGUCGAUGCUAAGAAACAAUUCCAGCUGCAUAAACACGGUUUUUAAAGAUUACAAACAAAUCAGAAUGGUGAUAUCAGCAUAACAAACCGGCACUUGCAGCUUCUCAAGCUUAACUCCUAUUUCACAAUUUAAUGACGUAAACCAAUAAAACUGAACAGGGAGCUAGGACACAGUUCCCUAUAUUUCAUCACACUGCUCGAUGUUUCGCCGGAAUCUUUUUUUCCCUCUCCUUUCCUUGCUGACCUGAGUAUGUUGACUUGCUUUUUAAGACCUGACUGACUUCUGCAAAAUCUGACAUUAAUGAAUAUGACGCUGUUGGCGAUAGGGGGUGUUAGUGGAGAAUCUGUGUUAUUAUGUUCUUUAUUGUUUGAUGUUUGCUGAGAAUCUACUUGAAGUAAUCCCAUUAAUGAGACAAACUGUUCUUAAAAUAGCCAGUGACAGCUACUAAAGAGUAUAAACAAUCCACAAAGAAAUAAUUUCUUGAAUGAUUUGAAAUGAUGUUACAGCUGCUGGUUGAUGGGGUCAAAUGGAUAUUAAACACAACACACCACACCCCACCAAGCUUUUCCUUCUUGGCACAAUAGUUGUUCAGUUUAAGGUUCUGGAUGGCUGAUUACAAUGUCAAAAGUUCAUAUCUUACAACAGCCAUUGCUCUUCCUUCUUAAAUCUAUACCUUCUCUUAUGGCCCCACUGCACUCUGCCAUGGUUGUGUUAUUUAGGGCCCCCUCCAUUCAUAGCUUGAAACUUAUUAUUAAAACCCUUAGUUGCUGUUAACUUUUUUUACAAAGAAAAUUUCAAUUAUUUUCUUUUAUUUUUCGCUUGUUCCGCCUUGAAGAGUUUUUAGUUGAAUAAAUUGACUCUUGUACUUAUUUUUUGAAGCCUAGUAACUUAUUCUGUCUCUUUUGCAUAAAAAACACUUGAUCGGAACAAGUUUUACUGGUACAUAAAUAUGUACUGUGUGUACACACACACACACACCUAGCAACGCUAGCUCAGUUAUUUCAUCAUUUUAUUUUGUUCUGAAUAAUUCUACCCCAAACCGUUUGUAUCCAUCUGUUUGAAAUAAUUAAGGAACUUCUACAGUGUCACAUGAUCUAGAAAUAGCUGUUAAAUUCACUUCAAAUCAUACCUUAUUGUUUAAAAAAAAAAAAGAAGACAUUUUAGAUAAUGUAAUCCUAUGUAGCCUGUGUUGGUCAUGUCUGGAACUUCUUUUUGUCAUAAGCCUGCUAGAUCUAGAUCGACUUAGAAUUAAGCAGCAAUAAUAUUCAUCAGCUAGCACGUGGAAGGAUUCGAGCGAAGCACUGCAUGUUAAUAGAAUAGUAGUUAUACAAUACUCCAACCAUUACACAGAAUGAGUUGUGCCUCUUUAUGGUACUAUUUAGAACUUAUUCAAAGAAUAAGGUGAAGUUAAGUGUAUUCAUUGUAUAUAUAUAUAGUACAGCUGUUCUUACGAAGACCUGCCCACCACAACAGAAUUGAAAUCUUGAAACCAAGGUAAGGUACCUCAUAAAAAGUGGGGAGUGUGCUGGUGCCAUGUAAAAAGCACUGGUGAUGGUGCCAUGUAAAAAAAGCACCCAGUACACUCUGUGGAGUGGUUGGUGUUAGGAAGGACAUCCAGCUGUAGAAACCAAACCAAGACAGACAAUGGAACCUGGUGCAGCCCCUGGCACUGCCUGUUCCUGUCAAGCCAAGCCAUCAUAGAAAACGGAUGUUGAUGAUGAUGAUAAAGUACUAGUGGUGAUACAUGAACCCUCAGUUUUAUAUUUUUAAGUUGCAGAAGGGUGAGUUUCAUGUGAAUCUUACCAGCCUAGUCAGUUUAGCUCUAGAAUUCAGAUUACUCAGUCAAACGUAAUGCUUAUUUAUUCACAUUGCUUUGAAUUAAUUAUGCAUUAUCUUUGAGCUUCAUGAUUUCAAUGACAUGACUGUUUCUUUUUAAAAUGACAUUGUAGGGUAGGUGUGAGAGGCAGGAUCUAGUAGAAUAUUUGGGUCAGGUUUGGCCAGUUUAAAUGCUAAAGGGUUAAAGAGUUCAAGUUUGGUAUUUUGUGGUUCUCAGUUCAAUCCCUGCCUAGGAGAACUCAACCUCGUAAGUCUUUUCUAUUUUACUUGUUUCAGUCAUUAGACUGCGGCCAUGCUGGAGCACUGCCUUGGAGGAUUUUAAGCUGAAUGAAUUGACCCUAGUACUUAUUUCUUUUUAAGUCUGUUAUUUAUUGUAUUGGUCUCUUUUGCCACACCACUAUGGGGACAUAAAUAUACCAACACCAGUUAUUUAUAUACAAUAGUCUACUUUCAGUUUCUUAUUUCUUUAUUGCCCACAAGGGGCUAAACAUAGAAUGUAAAGACAGAUGAAAUACCUAUUUCUUUAUUACCCACAAGGGGCUAAACAUAGAGGGGAAAAACAAGGACAGACAAAGGGAUUAAGUCGAUUACAUCGACCCAAGUACUUAACUAGUACUUAAUUUAUCGACCCCGAAAGGAUGAAAGGCAAAGUCAACCUCGGCGGAAUUUAAACUCAGAACGUAACGGCAGACAAAAUACCGCUAAGCAUUUCACUCGGCAUGCUAACGUUUCUGUCAGCUCACCACCUUGCUUCUUUCAGUUUCUGUUUACCAAAUUCACUCACAAGGCUUUGGUUGGCCCAAUGCUAUAGUAGAGAACACUUGCCCAAGAUUCUGUGCAGUGGUACUGAACCCAGAAUCAUGUGGUUGGGAAGCAAACUUCUUACCACACGACCACGCCUGUGCCUUUGUAUGCAUUUUUAUUUCAGCUGUGUGUAUGUUGUGUAUGAAAUAUUGAUAUUAAAGAUUGGAUCUCAGCUGGAAUUUUUUUUCAAUUUCCUUGAUAUCACUAAUACUUUCGCCAAAAAGUAUUAAGACCACAACUUCCCAUUUCCUCUACUUUCUAUGUAAAAUUUUAUAUCUUAGGAUAUUUUUAUCUGAUUUGUUUCUUUAUCUUUCUUUAUGAGUCAACAUGAGUUGUAGUAGAGUGGGAGUUUCAAAACUGGUACACUGGUUGUAAAUAAUAUUAUUGAAAAUACAUUCUGGAGUCUAUUUUAGUUCAACAUAGUUUCUUUCUUACAUUACAACUUGGUUCAUUUCUUCUAUAUCAAGAAAGUAAAACGAGGAGUCAGUUCAUUGCUAAUUAACUGUGGGUUGUUUGCAUUUCUGUACUUUUAUAUUUGCUUAUGUAGAGAUCUAAGGUGAGAGGUUAAUUGGCUUUUUUAAUUAAAAAAUGGCUUUAAACAAUAAAGGCAUCCAACAACAACAACAACAACAACAUAAACAAACAAAUCAAAAUAACUCACAGUUUGUUGUGAAAUAUUUAAAGUGAAAUGUUCUGAUGCCAGUGUUAGAGAUAUGGUGGAAGAGUGGGUUGGAUAAUUUGAAAGACAAGCAGGCAAAAUGGCAUGCAGUCAUGUUCUGAGUUCAAAUAAUACUGGGGUUAGCUUUGUAUUUCAUUCUUCCUGGGGUCAUUAAAAUAAACACUUAUUUCUUUACUACCCACAAGGGGCUAAACACAGAGGGAACAAACAAGGACAGACAAACGGAUUAAGUCAAUCAUACCAACCCUAGUGCGUAACUGGUACUUAUUUAAUCGACCCCGAAAGGAUGAAAGGUAAGUCGACCUCGGCGGAAUUUGAACUCAGAACAUAGCGGCAGAUGAAAUACUGCUAAGCAUUUCUCCCGGCGUGCUAACGUUUCUGCCAGCUCGCCGCCUAAAUACUAGUUGAAUACUAUGGUCAAUAAUCAACUGUUUAUCCUCAGCAUGACCUUCCAUCUGAAUAAAAAAUCUAUAAUGGUGUAGGUGCAGCGGAGUUAAUUUGGAGGCCUAUAUAACGAUGCUAUGCUGGAUGUCAGGGGUCGUUUUUAUUAAUUAUCUUUUUCAUGCAGUGUGCCGCCACAAACAGCUAAUCACUAAUUUACUUAGACAUCCAGCUGAUAUUGAAAUAGGGACGAGCAAGUUGUCUUUUUAAAUAGCACUAUAAAAUUGACUCAUUGUUAGCUUUCAAUUUUCCUUUCAAUCCCUCCCUAUCUCUGAGUGUAAAAAAAGUUAUGUCUGUUCAUAUUCAGGACAAAGUCUGCUUGUUCUCUCAUGUUUUUGAACACUUGUUCUCACCAAAAAUGGCUGUGAUGGCUAGUGUGCAAUAGUCCAUUCUUUUGUGUUUGAUUCUAAAGAUUUUUAGACUUCAUGGGACAAUGGUAGAUGCGAGGAGGCUAAAGUGAUAGAAUAUUGGUUUUUGGAUAUUGAUCAUAGAUUCAAACAUUACCACAGCCUUUGUGCUGUGCCUUUUUGUACUACAGAAAUAUCACUCAUCUUGUCUUAGUUUGUCCUCCAGAUUGGCUGAAUCAUUUGAGCAUGGGAUAAAAUGCCUUGUCUCAUUCUCUGAGUUCAAAUCUUACCUCAGUCAACUCUACCUUUCAUCCCUCUUUCGUUGAUAAAAUAAAGUACCAACCAAGUACUGGGGGGGGGGUGAUUUAAUCAACUAACUCCUACCUCCCAAAAUUAUGGGCCUUGUAUCUAAAAUUAGAAAUUGUUAUGAGGCAAUGAGGAAACCUAUAUAGUUGCUUACCUUGCUAAAAAUAGUAGCCAAAUUUUUCUCACGUUACACUCUGUUGUUUUAAGAGAAGGACAUACUACUGGAUAAUAUUAGACCUAGAUACAUUGUCAGGGAAAAGAUGGGAUGGUCACAACUGGAAUACUUUUGAUCAUAAUGUCUGCAUGAUCCAGACUGAUUUAGGUUAAACAAGUGCUGCUGUUGUGUAGUUUAUAUAUAUUGUGUCACAAAGUGCAAUAACUCUAGUCUUAUUGGUGAGUGUGUAUGUAUGUAUAUAUAUCAUCAUCAUCAUUGUUUUCCACCCAGGCAUGGGUUGGAUGGUUUCACCAAAGCUGGCAAGCCAGAGAGCUGCACCAGGUUCCAAUCUGAUUUGGCUUGUUUUCUAAAGCUGGAUGCCCUUCCAAAUCCAAACACUUUGCAGUGUGUGCUGGGUGCUUUUAAUGUGGCACCAGCAUGAACGCUUUUACAUGGUGCCAGCAUGAGUGCUUUUUACAUGGCUCCGGCACAAGUAGGCCAAUCCUCUUCACCAGGGAAUGUGACCUUAACACUUCUGCUGUGGAGGAUGGGUCUUCCUGAGUACAGCAAAGGUGCCAGGUAUCUCAGUCCUUUGUCAUCUUGUCCUAAAGGUUCAGUGUUCUGAGGUUGUCCUUCAUAUCUUUUCAUUUUUUAUUUUAGUCAAAUGAAUCGACCCCAGUACUUGUAUUUUGUAAGUCUGCUAUUUAUUCUUCUGGUUUCCUUUACUGAACCGCUAAGUCACGGAUACAUAAACACACCAACACCGGUUGUUAAGCAGUGGUAGGGGACAAACACAGACACAAAGGCACACGCUCAUGCAUCUAUACGUACACACACACACACACACACACACACAUAUACAUUCAUACAUACAUAUUGUUUCUGUCUACUAAAUCCACUCACAAAGCUUUGGUCAGCCUGAGGCUAUAGUAGAAGACAGCUUGCCCAAGGUGUCACACAAUAGGACUGAACCUGGAACCAUGUGGUUGGGAAGCAAACUUCUUACCACACACACACACACACACAAACACUCACAGACUGUUCAAAUCAAAACCUAUAAUGAUAUGUAAAUAUUUGCAUUGAGGAAUUAACAUGGUUAUUCUUUUAUUCAUCUACUUGUUUCAGUCAUGCUGGAGCACCACUUUAAGUUCUCUAUAAUUUAACUUUAUUUUAUUAUCAUUUUCAAUUACAUUUUUGUACAAUAACCACAUUUGCUAGCAUUUUAAAAAUGGGUACACUAUUAAUUCAGUAUGUAACCAACAUACAACAUCAGAUUAUUCUGUUAAAGGCAAUGCAUAUUUAUUCACAUUUUUAGAAUUAAUCAGGCAUUGUCUUAUAGUCUUCAGAUUUCUAUGAGAUAGCAUUAAUUUAUAGAAUGAUAUUGUAGGGUAUGUCUGAGGGGCCAGAUCUGGUUAGUUUGAAUAUAUAUAAUAGGUAAAAUAUUUUGGCUGGAUAUAGCUGGUUUAAAUGCUAAAUGGUUAAAGUGGUCGGUGUUAGGAAGGGCAUCCAGCUGUAAAAAAAACCAUGCCGAAACAGCCGGUGGAGUUUGGUGCAGUUCUCUAGCAGGUUAGCUCCUGUCAAGCUGUCUAACCCAUUCCAGCUUGAAAGACUGACACUAUUGUAUUAGUUGUUGACCUUCAAGUUAAAGUCCCUGUGAACCAUUAAUAUCUGUCAAUGUAUAAAGCAACAACAGUGUUUUUAGUCAAUUUUUCAAGGGUUACUUACUGGCUUCUUAAUGAAGAUUGAUUCAUUUGAGUUGGUAAGGAAGUAGAUAACUAGAGCAAAGAGACCAUGUGAUGAUAAUGAUAAGCUUUCCACUACAUGUGUACUAUUAUAUUUAACAAUCCACUGUUGUCACUUAAACUAUACACUCUCUUGUUCUCUCUCUCUCUCUCUCUCUCUCGCCUCACUGGAAAGAUCCCUUGUAUCCCAGAAGGAAAUCGCCAUUGUUCUGAAUUAUUAAAGUGCCAAUUAUUUGCUUACAUUAUCUCUCUAACACAUAGUUUCUUUUUUCCUUUCUGAAAGGUCAUCCAUGUGAAAAGUAUCUUCUUUUUUCUUUUUCUUUUCCCCAAUUGCGGAUGACUUCUCCUACCCAUUUAGCUUACAGCUACCAUUUUCUUUGAAGAAAUGUGAUAAAUCAAUGUUUUAUUUUAUAUAACAUCAAAUGUAUUUAUGUUAGAUUUUGUUAGUAAUUGUUUUUUUUUUUUUUAACUUUAGUUAUCCUUCUUUUUUUUAAUUAAUGACUGAGAUAAUGAGCAAGUAGUCACUUUCCUUGCUAGAAAUAGAAGGCAGUUAUCUCAAAUUAUAAAACCGCCGACUUAAAAAGAUGGAAGGAUGCAUUGUAUAAUGUAAUCCCGAAUACACUAUGCAUGCCUUUUACCACUUCCUUGCUUCAGUCAUUGGACUGUGGCCAUGCUGGGGCACCACUUUAAAGAGUUUAAUCAAACAAAUCAACCCUGGUACUUAUUUUAUUGGUCUCUUUUGCCAAACUGCUAAGUUGCAGAGGCUUAAACAAACCAGUACUGGUUGUCAAGCUGUGGUGGGGGACAAACACACACAAUUUACAUGUACACACAUAAAUACAAUGUGCUUCUUUCAGUCUCUGUAUAUCAGAUCCACUCACAAUGUUUUGGUUGGUCCAAAGUUAUUGUAGACGACACUUUCCCAAGGUGCCAUGCAGUGGGAUUGAACCCGGAACCAUGUGGUUGGGAAGCAAACUUCUAAACACUGCCAUUAAAAAAAGCAAGAUGGUUGUGGUUGGAAUGUCCUUGGUCAUAUAUUUACUCAAUCAGUGCCUGUAUGCAGUUGCUUACCAUGCUUGGAAUAGCACCCAAAUCUCUCUCGAAUCCCAUCUCACUCUCUUAAACAAGGAAGAGCUCCUUAGAUAAUAUAUUCCUUUUAGACCCCUCCCCUAUUAAGACAGAGUGGUCAUGGUCAGAAUGUCUUUGAUCAUAGGUUUACUUGAUCAAGCUUGACUUAAGAUGAAACAAUAACAGCAGCUGCUCAUCAUAAUAUCUACUACCAUCAGCUACUUUCUGGCUUGUUGACAAUUCUGAGUAUCUUUGUUGUUGUUCAACUCCAAGUCUGCCUUAUUGAGCAAAACUAUGAUUACUGAUGUUCCAACUAUGACCAUCCUGUCUGUUUUUGAUCAAACAGGUUGUCUACAACUAUAUUUAUCCAAUGUAUUUUCUCUUUCUUCAUUCAGACACUAGGAUAGUAGGGCAGCAGUCCCUAACCUUUUUACCACUAAAAGAUCCCCUUUUUUAUUUAAAUCAAUUAUCCCAUAGACCCUAGGCUUUUGAAAUAAAAAACCUAUCUGCUCAACAAAUAUUGAAUUGAGGACCACUGAAGUAGGGUUUGCUUUUAGGGAAAUUUAGCUGCUAUCUUUAACUGGUUGAGCAACUGUGUAGAAGCUCCAUUGUUGGUUGUCUUAGUAUGGUGAAAAUAUUGGAUUCCAAGAUGUAAAUUGUUGAAAGAUAAUUAGAUCUAACCAAUAUUAGACUUUUAAUUUUUUUUCCCCCUUUUUUUCGUACAUCUUUACGCAUUGCACCACAUCAUAGAGAGCUAAUAAUAAUUUCACUGCCUCUGGGGGUAGUUAUAGAUUGAAAUGGGAUCUAUCAGCUAGAAACUUGAAUAGCUGCAGGUUUUAAUAUAAUGAAGUGAUGGGUGAAGCUAUUUAAACUGAUAAUUAUUACAGUGUUGAGUAACUAUGAGGAUUAUUGAUUUUUGAUGUAUUUUUUACUUUGGAUUGAAUGAUUGAUUGACUGAUUGGUAAGGAAAGUUUCCAAUGAACAAUAUUUCCUAAUAUAAAAUUGCAUGGAAGAAUUCAUUCAAAGGAGAUUUUAAUUGAGUUGGAGGAUGUUUGAAUGACUUAAAUAAAAAAAAAUCUAUUAGUCAAUAAAAAUAUCCAGUUCAAGAGUUGAAUUUUGGAAGGAAAUUAUUUAGCAGUGAGGGAAAAGGAAAUAAGGCUUCCUGUUUCAGUUUAAAAAUUAGGGAGAGAGUGUUGUGAAAAAGAAAGGGUUGUGAUGUGGAGAAAUGGAUAGAAUUGUAAAAGAGGUUGAUAAGUUAUUAUGAUGUAGAGAUGGAAUUUUGAUAAAACAGAUUAGGUUGUUGGUAAGGAGAAAUAGAUAGGCUUAGAAUUGUUGUAUAUGGGGAUAGAAUUUUGAACAAGUGGAUAAAUAAGCAUUGUGGAAUGGAGAAGAAAUUGUGAAGAAGCAGGAUAGUGUUGUGAAAUAAAUAGAUUGGUAGAAUUGAGGUGAUGUUGAUGGUAUUGUGUUUUUUUGGGGGGGUGGGGAUGAGAACUGAGAAGAAGUAUGCAAAGUUUUAAAUAUAACUUUAACAGAUCUUCCCCAUUCUCACCAUCUGAAAGAAAGAAAAAAAAAAAUGGAAAAAGGAAAGAAUGGAGUAAAAAAAAAAAAAAGCUGUUUUUUCUUCUUUUUUUUUUUCAUUCAAGAUUUGGUUAAUAGGACAAGUCUGGUUUUGCUUCUUUUUUUAACCUUCAAAUUUCUCAGAGUUGAUGGUUAUCUUCAGUGAUGUUGACUUCUUUUUCCAUUAAACAAUGGUGAAGUCAUCACUAUCAGCCACAACAAUAGACAUUGUAGGUGUGUUACACAGUAUUUCUUUAAUACACCCUUUCUUCCUUUCUUUGUUUCUCUUUUUUCUUCAUGAUUUUCCUUUUUCUUUCUUUUACUUUUCUUUUUGUGCUGAUAAAGUGGAUAUUUUCAGUAUUUGCCUGUUUUCCUUAUGUAGUCUUCAAGAAGCUAUAGGCGCAGGAGUGGCUGUGUGGUAAGUAGCUUGCUUACCAACCACAUGGUUCCAGGUUCAGUCCCACUGCAUGGCACCUUGGGCAAGUGUCUUCUACUAUAGACUCAGGUCGACCAAAGCCUUGUGAGUGGAUUUGGUCGAUGGAAACUAAAAGAAGUCCAUCGUAUAUAUGUAUGUACAUAUAUAUAUAUAUAUAUAUAUAUAUUUAUAUAUUUAUAUAUGUAUGUAUGUGCGUAUAUAUGUUUGUGUGUCUGUAUUUGUCUCCUCAACAUCGCUUGACAACCGAUGGUGGUGUGUUUACGUCCCCGUAACUUAGAGGUUCGGCAAAAGUGACCGAUAGAAUGAGUACUAGGCUUCCAACGAAUAAGUCCCGGGGUUGAUUUGCUCAACUAAAGGCAGUGCUCCAGCAUGGCUACAGUCAAAUGACUGAAACAGAUAAAAGAUAAAAAAAGAAGUGAAAACUUGACUGUGUUCUAUUUCUGAUCUUCCUAUCAUGUUACUGGUCUUAUUUAUCUCAUUCUUAUGAAAUGAACAUUAUUUAAGUUAGGCAUAAUUUUAUUUUGAACAAGUUAGCAGCUUAGUGCCAAAUAGAUAGCCUUUCGUUUUUCUCCUGAGCUGAUAAAACCAGAAGCAAUAAAGUAACAGGGUGUGAGUAGCUGUGUGUAUAGAAAAUGCAACUUUUGUCAAAUAAAAGAGGCAGCACUUCUCUAACAAUUAUAGUUUCUGAUACCAACAGAAGUAUAAUCUUCUAUAUUGUAUUAUUGUACCACUUAAGAUAGCAGAAGUCAACCUUCUGAGGGUGUGUAGGAAAUAUAAGAGAACUUGUGUGUCAUCAUUAUCCUCUUUUAACCCUUUUGUUACCGUAUUUAUUUUGAGAUGCUCUGUGUUUCUUUCAAUUAUAUCAAAUAUAACAAAGAAUUUAAUAAAAUAACUCAGUUAUCAUUAAGCUAAUGUUAGGAACAUAAAUUGUGACUAAGGUUCGGUGGAAGAUUCUAUUCAGACUAUUCCACACUGGUUUUAUUUGGAAACAAUCUUUACGUUCAAUUUCCUCUGUGUUGUGUCUUAAUUUAUCCUUUCACAUUCUUCAGACACUUUUUGCAGGGUUACAUCUUGGUUUUGCUCCAGCUUUGCAAGAAUUCUAGUUCUGACUUCUGCUUCCUUUUCAACAGUUCAUCAUCAUCAUCAUCGUUUAACGUCCGUUUUCCGCGCUAGCACGGGUUGGACAGUUCGACCGGGGUCUGGGAAGCCAGGGGCUGCACCAGGCUCCAGUCUGAUCUGGCAGUGUUUCUACAGCUGGAUGCCCUUCCUAACACCAAAGAAAAAUCAGGCAUUUGAUCAUAUCUGGAGUUAAUUUAUCCAGCUUAGACUUCUUGCAUUCCCUGUUUACUCUACCAGUAUAUGUGAUGUAGUCCUUGUUACUAUUUUUCUCUAUAUUCAGACACUUCCAACAUGUGUUGAAUAAUGAGCUUUUUUCACAAAAAAUUUUAUGCAAUACAUCGUGUCAUUAAAGUUUAUGUCCAAUGGUUUUCUUGGGAGUACAAAAUUACUGUAUCAUCAUUUAUUGGGUGGGGAUCAAUUGAAAAAGUAGCUGAGGUAUUCAGUGGCUCAGUUGUGAAGUGACUCAUGUGUUAGUGUUGUAUGCUUUAUAUCAGAGUCGUACAAUACACACUCUCUUAGAUUGCAACAGCUCUUUCUUUUCCCAUGCAGCUUUUUGAAAUAAAUAUUGAAAUAGUAUUUAUAAGAAAAGAAAAAAACAAUAAUAAAUAAAGAAAAAAAAACUGUCAAAUAUAUGUAAGUUAACAAGCUGUUCUUUAGCAGCAGCAUUAAGACAUGGAAAUCAAACUCUUCUCUGUCUUAAUGAAUUGUAAUUGAAAAUAGAAAUCAAAACUUCCUCUUCAAAUAUUUUUAUAGAAAUGUAAAUAUAGAGUAAUGAACGGUUACUAAAGUUCUGAAAAAAAAAAAAGUUAAGAAACAAGUUUUUCGUGCACCUUUCAAUGUUGGCAUAGGUCAGGUCAGACGGAAUUUGUCGAGGCAGAUGUUUUUUUUUUCCUGUUGCCAAGCCUCACCUGUUUCCAAGUAAGAUAAUAUUUCCCCAUGACCAGACUUAUUUUCAUGGAAAGACACUGCUUCUAUGACGGUGAUGCUCAUUUACAGCUGUCACAUGAUAUCAAGGCAAGGAUACAGAAACACACACAUACACUCAUGUAUAUGUGUGUGUGUGUGCAUGUUUAUAUAUAUAUAAUAUAUAUAUAUAUAUAUAUAGUAGAGGCACAUGGUUUAGUGGUUAGGGUGUUGUAUUCAUGAUUGUAAGAUUGCGAUUUCAAUUCCUGGGCCAGGUGAUGUGUUCUUGAGCAAAAUGCUUUAUUUCAUGUUGCUCAUGUUCACUCAGCAGGCAAAAUAAUUAAUUCUGCAAUGGCUUGGUGUCCUGUGCAGGGGGAGAAUAUACACAGCUUUAUGAGAAAGGACCUUUGACCCCUUGCCCCUUUUCCAUUGAGAUAUAUAUGAUGAGCUUCUUUUAGUUUCUAUCUACCAUAUCUGCUCACGAGGUUUUGGUUGACCCAGGGUUAUAGUAGAAGACACUUGGUCAAGGUAACACAAAGUGAGACUGAACCCAGAACCAUCUGGUUGGGAAGCAUACUUUUUACAACACAGCCAUGCCUGUGUCUAUAGCCACAAAAUUUCAGCGCAUUCAUUUCUUUCUCUUUAACUCUUUUGCAUUUAAGCCUGCCAUAUCUGGCCAAAAUCACCUACCUGCUUUAUCUUCAAGUUAACCAGAUCAGGUCUCACGCAUUUCCUUUACAAUGUUAUUCUAAAAAUAAGCAAUUAUGUUCCGUUUUCCUCUCAGCAUCUAUGGUAUGUAUUAUGUUCGGUACCAUGGCAGUCAAUGGGAAAAUCAGAUUUCUGUUUAAAAUUUUCAUGUUACAGCAAGAUUCUCAGGAAUGCACUACUUUCAAAAUGCAGAAGAUACCUAUGUAAUUGUGUAUGUGUAUGUGUAUGUGUGUGUGAGUGAGUGUGUGUGUGUGUGUGUGUGUGUGUGUGUGUAUGUUUUAGAUGGCUCUUAGGAUUUUCUCAAACGAAAUAUUUCAAACAUUCAUUAAAUAUUUUUCAAAACACUCAAUACCUACCUCAGCCCCACCACUACCAGACCUCUUCCCCCACCCACAAUGGCCCUUGUGAAUUUCUGAACUCCACCAACCCACCAUUAACAAAGCUGAAAGGCACACACUACUUGUGUCAGUUUUCACCUGCAUAGUUAAGCGUAAACUGGAUUCCUUGGUUGAAAUGUAAAAAUAAACAAUGUAGGAAUUUAACUUUAACACUUUAGCUUUCAGAUUUCUCUAUUAAAUUAAUUCCUAUUUAUUUAUGUUGUGUUCGAAUUGAACCAUGCAGUAUCUUGCAGCUUCAGCAUUUUGAUGUGAUUGUUUACUUUUUGUGAGAGGCUGGAUCUGACCACUUUGAGCAUAAAAUAGGUAGAAUAUUUGGGUCAGAUCUGUGUGGUAAGUAGCUUGUUUACCAACCACAUUGUUCCGGGUUCAGUCCCACUGCGUGGGACCUUGGGCAAGUGUCCUCUACUAUAGCCUCGGGCCGACCAAAGCCUUGUGAGUGGAUUUGGUAGACGGAAACUGAAAGAAGCUCGUCAUAUAUAUGUAUGUAUAUAUAUGUGUGCGUGUAUAUUUGUGUGUCUGUGUGUCUGUGUUUGUCCCCACCCACCCACCCAACAUCGCCUGACAACCGAUGCUGGUGUGUUUAUGUCCUCGUCACUUAGCGGUUCGGCAAAAGAGACCGAUAGAAUAAGUACUGGGCUUACAAAGAAUAAGUCCCGGGGUCGAUUUGCUCAACUAAAGGCGGUGCUCCAGCAUGGCCGCAGUCAAAUGACUGAAACAAGUAAAAGAGUAAAAGAGCUUAAAUGCUAAAGGGUUCACCCUUCCGUAUUCACAUUACUCUGUCCAAAUGCUUAUUUAUUCACAUUGUUCUGAAUUGAUGUAGCUUUGAGAUUUCAACGUUUAUUUUUAGAAUGACUUCCUAGAGUAGAUGCGAGAGGCCUGAUUUGGUUGCUUUGAACAUGAAGCAGGUAGAAUAUUUGGACUGAAUAUAGCUGGUUUAAACGUUAAAGGUUUAAGGUUAACUCCUCUUAAGAAUUUCCUUGUUUUUCAACAAACUCCAGUUUUUUAAAGGCUGUUGAUAUGUAUUUCCUUAAUUACAAUCUUUCAAGAUUAGACCUAGCCCCCCCCCCUAUUCUUAGUACUCUUUUGCUCAACCAUGUUGCCCUUCCCCCAGCAUUCUUUUUCUCUCUCUCUCACUUUUUUUUUUCUCUUUUCUAUUCCAAUUCAAGAGAAAUGUCAUCGGAGUGUCAUUGUAUUGCCAUUUAGAAAAUGUCUUGACUAUCAACCAAAUUAUUGACAUGGACAUGGUAAUUUUCAUAUUAUCAUGAAGUACUUACUGUUCUAAUGUUAUACUCUUGGCAUUAUACACUCACACACACACGCACACUAAAAUGUUAGUCUCUAUGCAUCUGUAUAUGCAUAUCUCUCUGUCUAUCAGUCUAUAUAGUUAUAUCUAUAAUAUAUAUAUAUAUAAAUGUGUGUACAUAUAUAAAUGUGUAUGUAUGUGUUUUUGAUUAUAUAUAUAUAUAAAUGUAUGUAUGUAUGUGUGUGUGUGUGUGUGUGUGUGUAUAUAUAUAUAUAUAUAUAUAUACACACACAUAUAUACCAUAGUACCUUGGUUUUCGAAUAACUGAUCACAUGCUUUGUCUCCUGUCUGUCUCAUAAUCAUUUAAUACAGUAGUACAUCAGUUUAUGAAUGCUUCAGAUCAUGAAUAAAUUGUGCUUCAUGUAUCUUUAUUUUUAUAUAUGUAUAUGUAAAUGUGUUUGUGUAUAUAUAUAUAUAUAUGUAAAUGUGUGAGUAUAUAUAUGUGUGUGUGUGUCUGAAGCAGCUGGAGAUGUGAUAGACCAAAAAAACCAGCUAUUGCAAGCAAAAAUGAAUAUUGUAAAAAAAUGCAUUUGGCCAGAUUUGGACAUAUGAUAGUUUAACAUAAUAGCAACAAUACACACAUGCACCCACACACGCAUGCACACACACAAUCACACACACUGAACUUGAUUUUAGCUUCUCAUCUUUUCGGGGUCGAUAAGUUAAGUACAAGUCAAGGAAUGGAGUUGAAGUAAUCAACUAUUUCAGGCCUUGUCUCUUUAAGUAAAAAGAAUUCAUUAUACAUCAUGCCGAAGAAUUUUCAAACAAAUGCAUGCACCUCACAACUACUACUACUACUAGAAAACAACAACAAUAAAAACGUUUUUUUAAUUUUUCGCUGUCUAAGAAACAAUAAUUAUGGUGAUUACAUAUACUUAUGGCAAUGGCGUGGGUGGUUUUGGUAAGGGUACCUUUUUUUUUGAAAAACAGAACAAAAACAAAACAAAACAUUAUAUGUAAUUGAUUGCUGACGUUGUUUUACAAAAACAAUCAAAAUAGUGUUUGAGCUGAGGUAAUUACUUGCAGUGUCUGGGUUUGUUGGAGUAAGGUGGUGUAAGAGUGGGCGGUGGAAAUGGGCUCUCAGGUCAGCCUGCAAACCAGCCAGUCAGCUAUUCCAGUGAGGAGUGUGGUGGUGUUUGUGGUGGUGAAGAGACAAUUGUAAUUUGUGGGUCAAGAGCAACAGCACAUUACUUUGUUUUUUUUUUUUUUAUUUUUUAAAAUUUUCCUUUUCUUUCUUCUGAUUUAGUCUGGUUAGGUUAGGGAGUGGUGGUGGAGUUGGUGGUAGUGCAAAAGAUAGGAUGUAGGUUGGGGUGGAGUGUGUGUGUGUGUGUGUGUGUGUGUGUGUGAGAGAGAGAGAGAGAGAGAGAAAGAGAAGGGUUGCUCCUAAUGGUUCUGGAAUUAGUUGCUGAACUAGAAGUCUUGGUUUGUGGGUAGUGGCAGUGAUGAUGGUGGUGGUGAAUGGUAGAAUCAAGUAUGUGACAAUUUUGGAGUUGAGAGUUAAACAUUGUUACAAAAAAAAAAUACAAAAACACACUUUUCUAACAAAUUUUUUUAUUUUUUUAUUUUUCAGUAUGUACAAGUUUUUACACAAAUAUAUUUGGAGGCAUGUGGAUUGUGGAGUGAGUAUUUUGGGUCUGGAACUAAUGAAGUGACUGCAGUCCAGAAGAAGCCAAGUAAUUUGCAA
rnacentral:lncRNA from 1 species